rnacentral:lncRNA from 1 species
AUUGAUGGUAGCAGUCAAAGCUCGAAGAGCAGCAGCCUGUUCAUCCAACUGUUGUUGGAAUUUUUUAAAUAUGUCACUAUUAUUAUCACCUGUAGACAUUUUUUUUAAACCUGCAAAACACUCAACACUCAAAAAUAAAAGUUAUCAAACCUCACCGUUAAUCACUCAAAAAGAAAAAAUCAAAUUCUCAAUGAGGUCGAAUUCAAUCUUGUGAUUUCUUUAUCAGAGUUUAUAUCAACCAAUUAGAGAAUGUGAACCAAACUACCAAAGAAUCCUAAUUUGCACUAGGAUGCCAAAAACUGACGAGACACCAAGUGAUUCGUGUUGCACCGAGGAAGGAGUUGUGCACACGUGUAAAUCCUACUAACACAAGAAACAAGAAGAUGUUAGAUAACGUAACAGAAGAAUAAAAAGCAAACAAAUGAAAACCUACAGCUAAGAAUCAAUAAAAAUUGCUAAAACCAGAAAACCCGAAAAACUGCGGUGUAACUUGACAACUUCGUUAGAGGUGUUCCCGAUCUCCAAAAAUCACGAAAUUAAAUCUGGAGUGUCCUUAUAUAUUGAAUUUUUGAUCUGGAAAUUUUGGGCACCAAAUUCAACCCGCUGAAUCUUUUUUUAAAUUUUUAUUGAAUUUCGUAUUUUUUUAUUUUUUUGACUUUUUUGACUGAUUUGUUUGCGGGAAUAAUUUUUUAAUAUUCAAUCACAGUGCCAAAAACAUGUAUGUAAAAUUUCAGAUCAAUCGGACAACGUUUACCCACUCAAAUGAAUUUUUUUUGAACAAUUUUUCUGGGUAAAACUGCUGUUUAUGCUUUAAAAAAUAGAGAUCAGUUUAGAAAUCAACCAAGAACACCCAAAACGCCCAAAAUCUGAUACCAAAUGAUACGGGGUUGUGCGCGGACCAAGAUCGAGUUGCCAAGUCACGAGAAACUCCUACGAAAACCCUAAACAAUUAGAUCUGAAACGAAAACUGAAAAUUAAAAGAUUAGAUUUUUGAAUUUUUAGAUCUGAAAUAAAAUCCCCAAAACAGUAAAGAAUCAAAUAGAGAAUAGAAAUAAAUGUUAGGGUUCUUGAAACCCUCAAGGAGAUUGUGAUUCUGCCCAAUUGAACACCAAGAUAGUUUUCCCCAAAUUUCGACAAUCUAAUUUCACCCAAAAAGAGUAUAGAAAAACCCUAGAAAUUGGGGAUUUUUGGGCUGAUUCCUUAAGAUAGAAAAAGGCUGAAAACACAAUAAGAACAGAAAAUAGAUUAGAUAAUGAUUCAGCACAAGUAGAAAUAAAGAAAGAAUUGACAGCAAGAAAUUAAAAGAUAAGUCCUAAGAAGCCUUGAAAUCUCGAAAGAUCUCACAACUCCCUUCAAACGGCUCUAAUCUUCCCUCCAAAGAAUAUCAAUGGCAAGAAGAAGGUUGAAGAUGGCUCCCACAAUCAAAAGAUUGUUAAAACAACUUCUAAAGAAAACUCAAGAGAGAAAUCUUGGAGAAAACUCAAAGAAAAUUCUGCUCUCAACAAAUCUGAAAUUUUAAUAAUAAUAAUAAGUGUUUAACAAGGUGGACAGCCAUGCCUUUAAAUAGGCCUUAUAACUAGUCCUAAUCUAAUUAGAAAACUAAAAUAAAAAAAACUCCUAUUUAUUUUAAUAUGGAAAUUCGGUCAAAGGUCAUUUUAUCUGGGACUCUUAGACUGAAUAUUGACAUAAAAAUUUAAACUAAGUAAAUAAAUAAAAAUAAAAAUAAAACUUUACAACUUGGGCCACUUUGACAAUUUGGCCUGAUUUUCAACUAAGUAUGGAUGGAUUUCUUGAUUGAGCUGGGAAUUUGCUUAUUGGGCCUCGCCUUCAAGAAUUUGGGCUUUUGUGACUCGUAUCAAAUUGUAUGCGUUGAUUCGAGCCCUAGAGACAUGGCAACAUGAUACGAGUCAUAAAGGCCCAAUCCAAGUUCAAGAACGUGAUGGGCUCAAAUUGCCACAAGGCCCAAUAACAAGAUCAAAGGCCCGACAAAUGCGGUCCAAACUAAAUGGGACCAUUCAAGAGCUUGUUAGCAAGGCCUUAGAUGCAUACACGAGAGAACAAGAAAAUCAAGAUUCACUUUCUUGUUUUCAAGUAAAUCAAGAAACCCAAUCUUGGCCCAAUUUUGCUGUUCGAAGAGAUUUCAAGAAUCAAGAAAAUCAAGAUUUCAAAUCUUGGAAAUCUUGGUCCAAGAAACCAAAUCUUGCAGCCAAAACGCAUUGGAUCUCCAUUACGAGCGUCAACGACCCAAUUUUGGUAGGAGAUGGAUCACGAGCCCAAAUUCUUAAAGGCAAGGCCCAAUAAGCAAAUUCCCAACCCAAUCAAGAAAUCCAUACAUAUUUAGUUGAAAAUCAGGCCAAAAUGUCAAAGGGCCCAAUUUGUAAACAUUUUAGUUGUUUAAGUUAAUUUUUAAAGUUUUAGGAAUAUCACAUGUUAAAUUCGGCCCAAAACAGCCCAAUAGGAUGCAUGGCCGAAUUUUCCUUUGUUUUUUUAAUUAAGUUUAAAUUUUUUAGGUUUUCUAAUUAGAUUAGGAUUUGUUGGAGGCCUAUAUAAGCAUUGGCCAGCCACUCUUUGUAAAAGGCUGAUUAUUAUUUUUUUCUAUCAAAUUUCAGAUUUGUUGAGUGCAGAAUUUUCUUUGGGGUUUUCUCCAAGAAUUCUCUCUUAAGUUUUCUUUAGAAGUUGCUUUAACAAUCUUUUGAUUGUGGGAGUCAUCUUCAACCUUCUUCUUGCCAUCGAUAUUCUUUGGAGGGGAGAUUAGAGCCGUUUGAAGGAAUUUGUGAAUUCUUUCGGGAAUUCAAGGGUUCUUAGGACUUUUCUUUAAUUCUUGCUGUUUCGAUUUCUUUCUUUACUUUUCUUUGCUUAUACUUGUGCUGAUUUCUCAUCUAAUAUUUUACUGUUCUUGUUUGUUUUCCAGCAUUGAUUAAAAUCAAGAUCUCAUCGUUUAAGUUGUUCUCCUAUUGGCAGCACCCAUUCGAACCCAAAAAUCCCCAAUUCCUAGGGUUUGGCCGAUUGGAUUUCUUUCAAUUUGGGAAUCAAUUGAUUGCUGGAAAUUGGGAAUUCUUGGUCAAAUCAAUUCCUUGGCAGAUUCGCAUCUUUUCUUUCUUCUCAAUUUCGUUUGAUUCAUCGAUUCUAUUUCUUUUCUUCUUGCUGCUAUUUUAAUUGAACUUGGGAAUUUUAAAUUCAAAUCUGAUUUGGUUUAAUCUUAAUCUUUGUUUUUGUUUUCAGAUCUAUUUGUCUAGGACCUUUCGUAGGAGUUUCCCGUGACUUGGCAACUCGAUCUUGGUCCGCGCGCAACCCCGUAUCACAACACUAUUUAUGGCCGAAGGAAUUCGUAAUUCAUUCAGACCAUGAGGCUCUAAAUCAUUUGAAAGGACAAACCAAGCUCAAUAAAUGUCAUGCCAAGUGGGUGGAGUAUUUGGAGUCUUUCACGUACGUGAUCAAGUAUAAAAAGGGUAAGGAAAAUGUUGUAGCCGACGCCCUAUGUACGCACUUGUUAAUUUAAUGGAUUCUAAAUUGCUUGGUUUUGAAUUUAUCAAAGAUCUUUAUAAAUCCGAUGCUAACUUUGGUGAAAUUUAUGAGUCUUGUUCGCAUGGUGCUUGUGAAAAGUACUUUCAGCAUGAGGGAUAUUUAUUUCUUGAGGGCAAGCUUUGUGUGCCUCAAAGUUCUGUGUGAAAUGUGCUUGUUGAAGAAGCCCAUAGUGGUGGACUUAUAGGUCACUUUGGGAUUGCCAAAACUCUAGCAAUUUUGCACGAACAUUUCUAUUGACCCAAAAUGAAACGCGACGUAUUAAGGAAAUGUGAUCGUUGCAUCACUUGUAAGAAGGCAAAGUCACGAAUCAAACCUCAUGGUUUAUACACCCCGUUGCCUAUUCCCGAUGCUCCGUGGGUAGAUAUUUCAAUGGAUUUUGUUCUAGGUCUUCCAAGAACCAAAAGAGGAAGAGAUUCAAUAUUUGUUGUCGUAGAUCAUUUCUCGAAAAUGGCUCAUUUCAUACCUUGUAAUAAAACUGAUGAUGCUACUAACGUUGCUAAUUUGUUUUUCAAGGAAGUUGUCAGGUUGCAUGGAAUUCCUCGUACUAUUGUUUCUGACUGUGACACAAAGUUUCUAAGUCAUUUUUGGAGGACGUUGUAGGGAAAAUUGGGCACCAAACUUCUAUUUUCGACAACAUGCCACCCUCAAACGGAUGGCCAAACUGAAGUAGUAAAUCGUGUGUUAUCAACUCUGCUUCGAGCUAUUUUGCAAAAGAAUUUGAAGAUGUGGGAAGAUUGCUUACCUCAUGUGGAGUUCGCAUACAAUCGAACCAUUCAUUCCGCUACAAAAUUUUCUCCUUUUGAGGUAGUAUAUGGUUUUAACCGCAUUACCCCUCUUGAUUUGAUUCCUAUGCCUGCUAAUGAGUUAGUGCAUGUAGAUGGUAAAAGAAAGGCCGAUUUUGUCAAACAAUUGCACAAAAAGGUCAAAGAUAAUAUCGAGAGGAGGACUGAACAAUAUGUUUGAAUCGCUAAUAAGGGACGUAAACGAGUUGUAUUCGAACUCGGUGAUUGGGUUUGGAUCCACAUGCGCAAGGAACGAUUUCCCGAGCAAAGGAAAUCCAAAUUGCAAUCAAGGGGUGACGGCCCAUUUCAAGUCUUGAAGCAGAUUAAUGAUAACGUUUACAAAAUUGACUUUCCGGGUGAGUAUGGAGUGAGUGCAAGUUUUAACGUUGCAGAUCUCUCUCCUUUUGAUGUAGGUGACGAUUCGAGGACGAAUCACUUUGAAAAGAGGAAGGAUGAUAUGAGCUCGCCCAUGAAGAUAGGUGUUGAAUCCAUGGAGUUGCCUUUGGGGCCAAUUACUCGAGCACGUGCCAAGAAGUUCCAAGACGCCGUAGCAAGUUAUAUUGCUCGAUUGUGGAGUGAUGGGCUGAUUGCACAUAAAACGCCCAGCUCAACUAGCUUGAGUCGCACCUUCCUACAAGCUGAUUUUAGCUCGUGUUAGCUCAAUUCAGCUCAAUUUGGCACUUAACAAGUUCAAGGAGUUGAUUAUAUUCAUUUUGAAUAAAUUAAAUUAGUUUUGUUAGUUUAGAAUCAGCUCAAGUUAUUUAAUUAAAUAAAUAUGUUUUAAUCUAGACAUUUUAAUUCAGCUUAUUAAAUGUGUUUUAUUUUAGUACAUGCCAUUAAUAUGUCCAUAUUAAGUCAUAAAUUAAAUAUGUUUAGUUUAAUUACAAAGUUUUAAUGUGUCUUAACUAAGACAAAUUUAUUAGUGGCUGCUAAUUAAUUUGUCUUAGCCGAAUUAAUGUGCAGAAUUUUAAUGUUUUCAGCUGCUGAUUUUAUGAGCUUUAAAUAUGUCUUAAUUGCAUGUAUUUGAUAUUUUUUUUAGAUGAAUCAGCUAGCUUAAAGGCAAAGGAAGACAAUUAAAGAAGGAGCAUGUAUUUGGGCACAUGCAUGGACGGUAUUUAAGGUGGAGCUUCCUUGUGCUUUCAGCUGACUUUUCGUGCAGCUCAAUGGACUUCUAGCUGCUGAUUUGAGCUUCUCCAAGAGUCAAUUUCAUGGAGAGCAAUGGCCAAAAAGUGCCUCAUAAAUUCCAGCAGCUAACUAAUUUGGUGGCUGCUCAUAUUCGGCCAAAAGAGCAUGAUUGUUCAUGCUGUCCAUUUCUCUUCUCCAAAGCAGCAAUUAAACUCUUUUAAACACAUUAGUUGAAUGUGAAUUUCACCAUUAAAGGGGUCAGCCGAAUCAUCUUUUCUAGAAGGUUAAUGUUCAGAUUUUGUUCAUGAAUGUAUCUAGGAAAUUUCUAGGAAGUUUCCUAAAGAAACUUAAGGCAUAAGGAUCUGAUUAGAAAGGCUAUUUGGUUGCCUUAGUCUAGCCUAUAAAUAGACCAUGUAAUUCACAUUUGGAGGUUAAUGAACAAUUUUAUAGCUUUGCUAAAUUGUAAGGUUGUUUACAAAUCUCGUUAUUAUCCAAAGAAUUGUGGGACUUAUCAAACAUCUUUGUGGCGUCAAACUUGUCUUUGUUUCUACCCGAACUUAUCACUUUAAUCCCAAAAGUGUGGCGUUCGAUUCAUAUUGAGGUUCCUAUCACCUUUUGAUAGCGGGUCAAAGUUUCCAUCCAUUUCACAAACCUUCCAUCAAUACUGAUGCGAUCCCGGUCGCAUCAUGUUACGACACAACUCGACGCUACCGAGAUUGGUCCAAACUCGAGGGGCCCAAGUGCAAAAUGAAGUUUUUAAUUUUAGUUUGUCAAUUUGGCUGCUGGAAAAUAAGGACUUUGAUUCAUUAAUUUUUAGUUAUUUUAGUUUGUGUUUUUAAUUAUGUCAUAGUUUGCACAUCAUUAAUAUGUGUUCUGCAUUUAAUAAAGUCAUGCAUUAUGUUACUUUCAUGUUAGUUAAGUUUGCAUCAUUAAAUUAAGUCAAGUUAGUUUAAUUAUGUAACUUUCAUGUUAGUUAAAUUUGCAUUUCAAAACCAUGCAUUUAAGCAUCUUAGUUUAAUAAAUGAGUUGCUGGACAUUUAUUCAACUCAUCUUAGUUUUAAUUAAUAAGUGUUUUUUUUGAACUUUAUUUAAUAAGUGUUGUUCUUAAUUGAUCUAGUUCCUAGGAUUAUUUAUUGAUGCAUAAAUUAAGUUUUUUAAAUUAUGCUUCUUUAAUUAAACUAGUUGCUGGAAUAAUUAUUGCAUAUAUGUUUUAGUUCAUUUAUUUAAGUAAGUUUAAUGUUUGUUAUGAUUAAUAAGUGUUUUCAUUUGUUUAAUAAACUCAUUUUAAUGUGUUUAUUGCAGGUGACUUUUUAGCUUAUAGUGGUUACAAUUCAAGGCUGUUACACAUUUAAUUAAGUGGCUGUUCAAGUUCUUUUGAGUUACAAUUAAAGGGGCUGUUAUAAAGGGAGCUUAAAAAUCAUUAAAGGAGUUUUUAAAGAGCAUUUUAUGCCCUUUAAAAUUCAGCAGCAACUCUUCCACUUCCAGCCGUUUUUGGAGCUUUCAAGAGAAAUUAAUCAAGCCUUUGAAUGUCAUUAAGGAGCUGGUUAAGAGAUGGUGUCUAUUCAACUAGCCAAGGACAACUCAAGAGUCAUUUUCUAAGCCAUUAAAGAAUUCAAAUCAGCUGAAUUAAAGUGAUUUUAUGGAAGGAAUUAUUUGGUUCAAAGAAUAAGAAAAGACAUCAGUUUUUAUGGCACAUUAAGUGGAUGUUUUUGACCAUUCGGUUACCUUGUUUUAGCAUUAUAAAUAGAUGUAAUCAGCCAUAGAGAGAAGAACUUUUUUGCUGAAUAUAGAUGAAAUAUUUGAAUUGUGAGCUAUCCAAUUCUCUUUGUUCUUUCGGAAUUGAUUUGACUUAUCAAGCAUAGCUUGUGGCGUCCAUAUUUUCUUUGUUGCUGAACUUAUCACCUUUGGUGUGGCAUUCAAUAUACCUUUGGUUCCUAUCAUAGUUGAUAGUGGCUCAAGGUUCCUUUCCUGUUUCCUUUAACCGAAAAACACCUACAGACCAUUUUGAGAUUCGAGUCAACAAUUCGUUAUUGUUGGUUCAUUUUCGGUCUUAGCCAAUUAAUUUGUUAUUGUUUCCUCUUUAUUUUGUUUAUUACCUUUGUUUGAAGCCAUUAUCUCUAUUUUGUUUCAUUUUAAAAUCGAAACGAAUCCAUCCUUACUCAAUUCACGAUUGGGCAACACAUACGACUCAAAACAUCACGAGACGAGUUCGUAUCAAAUUGGUAUCAGAGCUAGCGAAUUUGGAGUAAGAAUCGACAUUGUCGGCAUUACGAUAUAGUAGUUUCUCGAAAAAAACUCAAAAAAAAUUCAAAAAAAAAUUAAAAAAAAAACUAGUUUCCAUUCAAACUUAAAAGAUUGGAUAUCAAGUUGUGAAAAAAAUUUUGAAAAAAAAAUUGUGAAAAAAAAAAUUUGAAAAAAAAAGAGCUAGUUUUGAAAUUUAGUUUUUGUUUGCUGCCCAAAAUUUUAGUCAUUACUACCUUCUACUUUUUGCCACACCAAACAUUUACAUUUCUUUAUUUCAAGCCUACUUUCCUUUGUCCUACAAUAUUCUUUCCAAGCCCAAACAUCAAGUUUGUAAGCCAACCCACAACAACUGCCUAUUAAGUUUAAAUAAUUCCUAAGAACUUAGAGAGGAGGAGUGAGUGGAAAGAGGCAAGAGAGUAGUGAGUUUAUUCAAGAGAAAAAAAAAGCCAAGUGUAUGAGAUUUCAUUGUGAGUGGAUAGUGAGAUUCUUUGUUGUGAUUUCUUAAAAAAAAUGUCACGAAGUCUGGAAAAAAAUUCAGACAAGGGAGUUGGAUUCCGUCCUGUAAGAAUUGUUGGAGGAAGUGUGCCAGAUUUUACACUCCAAGCCUUUACGCAUGAAAUGGAGCAUCUAUUUGAUCGAAAACUCAAACCCAUCAAGAAACGAUUGGAUCGUGUCGAAGAGCGGAGUCAUCGAGCAAGAACCCAACGGGAGAAAAUUUAUCCAAAUGAAAGGACGAAAAUGAGAUCAUCAAGGAGACAAACAUUCGACGAAUAUGUGGAAAGAGACCCUUAUCCAGAUUCCUAUUCUUCAAGGAAUUUAGGCCGAAAUAAAUCCAGCUACAAGUUUGAAGCCUAUCAAGGUAACGAACGAGAAAGCACAAGUCAUUCUUCGUAUGCAACAAAGUAUUCAUCUACGAAAAAAUCCUUACGAAGAAGUGAAUGUGUUUCGUAUAAGAACUCAUCCAUGGAGGUUUAUUCACGAAGAGUUGACCGUGACUCUUAUGAAGAUUCUUCCACUUCUUUCCAACGAAAAGUCUAUUGUUCUGAUUAUUUUGUAUUAUCUCCAUUUUGUAAUAAAGUUGAGAGAAGAAAAAGAGUGACGAGAGAAAAAGAAACUGAAAAAGAAACAAAAAUUGAAAAAGAGAAAAAGAUUGGAGAAAGAAAAGAAAGAGUGCGAGAAACAAGUGUUGUUUAAAAUGAAAGAGAAUUGAUGAGUGAAAGUGAGUUUUCAACAAACAAAGAGAUUGUGGAAAAAGAAAGAGAAGUUGAAAAAGAAACGGGUGGAAAAGAUGAAAGUCAACAAGAAAAAGUGAGGAAUGUUUUUACUAACCAAUCUGCAAGUUGUCCUCAUAUUGUUUCUUCUUUCCAGGUUUCUAGAGAUUCAAAUGACAAGUUUCAACUUCAUUACCUUCCUGAUGAGAGACGAUUCCAUUUGAUCGAAAAAGGUAAGGUUCAAGCGCUUAAAGGUAAGCAAGGUAAGGAGUUUUUAGUCAGUGAAUCAUGGCAAUCAAGUUUGAAAGUUGUUGAUAAAAUUUUCGAUAACUUAGUUUUAAAAAGAUCUCCUUAUUUUGAUUUGGUUAAUUGUUACUCGCUAUUUGUGGUUGAUAAAUUUUUUUUAAGUGGAGGCAUGAAGAGUUGUUCACUCAAUAAGUUUUGUGUUAAAAAAUCUUUUGAUGUUGUUCGAUUAAAUCCACAAAUACAAAAUCUGAUCAUGUUUGAUAAAGAGCUUUCAUGUGAAACGCUCAAUCUGUUUGAUCGUGACGGUAAUGAAAAUUUUUUAACUCUUAGCGUGAGAUCUUCGUAUAUUUGCAUGAGAUUUGAGAGAUUUGAUUCUUUGAAUUUAUUUUUGCCUACAUCUUCUUUAUUUGGCAUGUGUGAUGUCUUGGUGAAAGUGAAGUUUUUGUUACGUUACGGAACGACCGAUCAAAACCAUGUUUUUAAACCCGGAGCCUGUAUUCCUAAGUUGACCUCAAGCGAAGGUGAGUAUCAAAAUUGUAUUUUGAAUCAAUGUGUUGACCCCUUCUAUUUGCUUCAACUUUUAUCUUUAUUUAGUUCGAAAACCAAACAUGUUAAUUUCGUUGGCUUGCCAAGUCAAAAUCAAAUUUUUUAUUCUAGAGGUUGUUGUAUAUUGUUGCUUAAUGGAUUCGAACAUGUGUUGCAUGAUUUUAACUUUAAUGUGCUUCAAGUUCUUCAUAAGUUACUAGCCAUAAAUUUUUCUAGUCAAAUUGAAAUGGUGAACAAAAAUUUUGUCUUUGAUCCCGGUGAAUGCUGUUCCAUAUCAUUGUUCAAGGGAUUUGGACCAUGGAAUUCUAAUUUUCAAAACUAUAAUCUUCAAAUACCUUGUGAAUCAGGUUUGCUUCCAUCGAAGAAAAAGGUAAAACCAAUUUCUAUUUUUGAUCCCAGUAUUGAUUCAUGUGUUGUUCUUUUGAGUUUAUUUGUUCAAGUUGUGACUAAAAUCCCGGAAAGUUCUUUUGUGUUUAACCUUCAUUGUGUAACUAAUUUGUUUUAUUGUUUUGUAGGUGACGAUGUUAGGUGGUACCCUCCUAAAGAGGGAUGGCAUGCAAAUGACCUUCUUUCUAGCCGAGCCAUUUGUGGUUCUCAAAAUUUUGAAAAUAAUUCUGUCCGGAUCAUGAACAAAGGGGGUCAUGAUCUUGAAAAAUUUUCACGAGCAAGUGGCCCGAUUUGAGGACAAAUCGUUUUCAAGAGGGAGGGUAUGAUGCGAUCCCGGUCGCAUCAUGUUACGACACAACUCGACGCUACCGAGAUUGGUCUAAACUCGAGGGGCCCAAGUGCAAAAUGAAGUUUUUAAUUUUAGUUUGUCAAUUUGGCUACUGGAAAAUAAGGACUUUGAUUCAUUAAUUUUUAGUUAUUUUAGUUUGUGUUUUUAAUUAUGUCAUAGUUUGCACAUCAUUAAUAUGUGUUCUGCAUUUAAUAAAGUCAUGCAUUAUGUAACUUUCAUGUUAGUUAAGUUUGCAUCAUUAAAUUAAGUCAAGUUAGUUUAAUCAUGUAACUUUCAUGUUAGUUAAAUUUGCAUUUCAAAACCAUGCAUUUAAGCAUCUUAGUUUAAUAAAUGAGUUGCUGGACAUUUAUUCAACUCAUCUUAGUUUUAAUUAAUAAGUGUUUUUGUUGAACUUUAUUUAAUAAGUGUUGUUCUUAAUUGAUCUAGUUCCUAGGAUUAUUUAUUGAUGCAUAAAUUAAGUUUUUUAAAUUAUGCUUCUUUAAUUAAACUAGUUGCUGGAAUAAUUAUUGCAUAUAUGUUUUAGUUCAUUUAUUUAAGUAAGUUUAAUGUUUGUUAUGGUUAAUAAGUGUUUUCAUUUGUUUAAUAAACUCAUUUUAAUGUGUUUAUUGCAGGUGACUUUUUAGCUUAUAGUGGUUACAAUUCAAGGCUGUUACACAUUUAAUUAAGUGGCUGUUCAAGUUCUUUUGAGUUACAAUUAAAGGGGCUGUUAUAAAGGGAGCUUAAAAAUCAUUAAAGGAGCUUUUAAAGAGCAUUUUAUGCCCUUUAAAAUUUAGCAGCAACUCUUCCACUUCCAGCCGUUUUUGGAGCUUUCAAGAGAAAUUAAUCAAGCCUUUGAAUGUCAUUAAGGAGCUGGUUAAGAGAUGGUGUCUAUUCAACUAGCUAAGGACAACUCAAGAGUCAUUUUCUAAGCCAUUAAAGACAUUCAAAUCAGUUGAAUUAAAGUGAUUUUAUGGAAGGAGUUAUUUGGUUCAAAGAAUAAGAAAAGACAUCAGUUUUUAUGGCACAUUAAGUGGAUGUUUUUGACAUUCGGUUACCUUGUUUUAGCAUUAUAAAUAGAUGUAAUCAGCCAUAGAGAGAAGAACUUUUUUGCUGAACAUAGAUGAAAUAUUUGAAUUGUGAGCUACCCAAUUCUCUUUGUUCUUUCGGAAUUGAUUUGACUUAUCAAGCAUAGCUUGUGGCGUCCAUCUUUUCUUUGUUGCUGAACUUAUCACCUUUGGUGUGGCAUUCAAUAUACCUUUGGUUCCUAUCAUAGUUGAUAGUGGGUCAAGGUUCCUUUCCUGUUUCCUUUAACCGAAAAACACCUACAGACCAUUUUGAGAUUCGGGUCAACAAUUUGUUAUUGUUGGUUCAUUUUCGGUCUUAGCCAAUUAAUUUGUUAUUGUUUCCUCUUUAUUUUGUUUAUUACCUUUGUUUGAAUCCAUUAUCUCUAUUUUGUUUCAUUUUAAAACCGAAACGAAUCCAUCCUUACUCAAUUCAAGAUUGGGCAACACAUACGACUCAAAACAUCACGAGACGAGUUCGUAUCAAAUACCUUACCACCCUAAGCAUUCUCAUAAGUUACGGGUUAACACACUACUAUUGUGUUAGUUUGGCUUUUGAAUCCUUAGCCAAAUUGCAUCAAUUGACUUUUGAUUCAUUUCCUCAACCAAUAAAACUGUUUUGAGCCUAAAUAAUCCCUUUUUUUCUUCUAACCUAUUUUGAAAAGCCUUAAACUUACUGUUAAUUCACGAUCGGGCAUUUCAUACGACUUCUUCAUCAAACGAGGCAAGCGCGUAUCAUCCCGAGUGGGUUACCACCUAUUCGUGGAAUUGAACACCAAAUAGAUCUUGUGCCGGGAGCCACGAUUCCAAAUUGACCUGCUUAUCGAAGUAACCCUGAAGAAACGAAAGAACUAUAAAAGCAAGUGAAUGAACUUCUUGAAAAGGGCUAUGUGCGUGAAAGCCUUAGUCCAUGCGUCGUGCCAGUUUUGCUUGUUCCAAAGAAUGAUGGAACGUGGAGGAUGUGUGUGGACUGUCGUGCUAUAAAUAAAAUAACUAUCAAGUAUCAUCAUCCUAUACUGCGAUUAGAUGAUAUGCUUGAUGAAUUGAGUGGCGCGAGUUUGUUUUCAAAAAUAGAACUUAAGAGCGGUUAUCACCAAAUACGGAUGCGCGAGGGUGAUGAGUGGAAGACUGCGUUCAAAACAAAGCAUGGGCUAUACAAAUGGCUCGUUAUGCCAUUUGGCUUAACAAACGCCCCAAGCACAUUCAUGAGGCUUAUGAAUCACGUUUUAAGACCUUUUAUUGGUAGAUUUUGCCUAGUAUAUUUUGAUGAUAUAUUAGUUUAUAGUAAAAAUUUGGAUGAUCAUUUUUACAUUUAAAGGCUGUUUUGGAAGUAUUGAGGAAAGAAACCUUGUAUGCUAAUCUGAAGAAAUGUGAUUUUUGCACUAACAAGGUUGUAUUUUUAGGUUUCGUUGUUAGUUCGGAGGGCCUUGAAGUUGAUCAAGAAAAGGUCAAGGCGAUCCAAGAAUGGCCCCGUCCGACGAAUAUCUCCCAAGUUCGAAGUUUCCAUGGAUUAGCAAGUUUUUACUAUCGAUUCGUGCCAAACUUCAGCACUUUAGCCGAACCCUUGACUGGGGUUAUUCGUAAGAAUUCCAAUUUCAUUUGGGGAGAGCAGCAAGAAAAAUCAUUUCUGAAAAUUAAAGAUUGUUUAACUCAUGCACCAUUACUAGCAUUGCCCAAUUUUGAUCAAACUUUCGAGUUAGAAUGUGAUGCAUCAGGUUUAGGCAUUGGAGCCGCGUUGAUGCAAGAUGGACGUCCUAUCACCUAUUUUAGUGAGAAACUCAACGGUGCCAUCCUAAACUAUCUGACGUACGACAAGGAGCUCUACUCAUUGAUUCGAGCCUUAGAGACGUGGGAACACUAUCUUUGGCCCAAAGAAUUCGUCAUACACACCGAUCAUGAGUCCUUGAAGUAUUUGAAAGGGCAACACAAGUUGAAUAAGCGGCACGCUAAGUGGGUAGAAUUUCUUGAAUCUUUUCCCUACGUAAUUAAAUAUAAGAAAGGUAAGGAAAAUGUAGUGGCUGAUGCACUAUCACGAAGGUAUGCUUUAUUAAAUGUUUUGGAUGCCAAGUUGAUGGGGUUUGUAUUUCUUAAAGAUUUAUAUGUCAACGAUACUGACUUUGGUGAAUUCUUUAGGUUCUGCGCAAAGGGAGCCUAUGAGAAGUACUAUCGACAUGAUGGGUACUUAUUCCGAGAAGGGAAGCUUUGUAUACCCCAAGGGUCCGUUCGACUGGUGUUAAUUGAGGAAGCGCAUAGUGGUGGAUUAAUGGGGCACUUUGGUGUUGCUAAGACUUUAGCUACACUCCAUGAACACUUCUUUUGGCCCAAGAUGCGACGAGAUGUUGAACGAUUUUGUAAUCGAUGCAUUGCAUGCAAACGAGCUAAGUCACGAAUUAAGCCCCACGAUUUGUAUAAGCCAUUGCCCAUUCCCGAAACCCCUUGGUCUGAUAUUUCAAUGGAUUUCGUGCUAGGUUUACCAAGGAGUAAAAAUGGUCGAGAUUCAAUAUUUGUGGUUGUAGAUAGGUUUUCUAAAAUGGCCCAUUUAAUAGCAUGUCAUAAAACUGAUAAUACCGUUAAUAUUGCUAACUUAUUUUUCAAAGAGGUGGUCAGGUUGCAUGGCAUGCCUAGGACGAUCGUGUCCGACCGAGACGCGAAAUUUCUUACCCAUUUUUGGAGAACACUAUGAGGGCGUCUUGGAACCAAGUUGCUAUUUUCAACCACUUGCCAUCCGCAAACGGACGGCCAAACUGAAGUGGUCAACCGAAUUUUGUCUACAUUGCUUCGAGCUAUCAUCUGGAAAAAUUUGAAGGCUUGGGAAGAAUGUUUACCACAUGUGGAGUUUGCGUAUAAUCGAGUUGUUCACUCAGCUACCAAAUUUUCUCCUUUUGAAAUCGUUUAUGGUUUCAAUCUGUUAACACAACUUGAUUUAAUGCCAUUGCCUUCUAAUCAACUUAUACAUGUAGAUGGAAAGCGCAAAGCUGAUUUUGUCAAGCAAUUGCACCAACGAGUUCGAGACAAUAUUGAGGCCAAGACCAAGAACUAUGAACAACAUGCUAACAAAGGUCGUAAGCGAGUUGUGUUCGAGCCGGGAGAUUGGGUUUGGUUGCACAUGCGCAAGGAGAGAUUUCCUAUGCAAAGCCGAUCUAAACUUCUUUCGAGAGGGAAUGGACCGUUUCAAGUCCUUGAGCGAAUUAACGAUAACUCUUAUAAAUUGGACUUGCCUGGUGAAUAUAAUGUUAGUGCGACUUUUAACGUUUCUGAUUUGUCUCCGUAUGAUGCAGAUUGCAAUUUGAGGACAAAUCAUUUUGAAGAGGAGGGGAAUGAUGUGAGCUUGCCUACGAACCAAGUAGAGCUCGAUCAAGAAGCUAUCAAACUACCCAUCAGUCUGAUAAUGCGAGCUAGAGCUAAACGAUUCAAGGAUGCUAUUUCAGUAAUGGUGGAACGAACUUGGGAAAAUGAUAACAAAGAGUUUAAAAACGAGCUGAACAUUUUCAACUUUUUGGAAGCUGAAAUUCGUUCCAAAUAAUUAAUUUGCUGCUGGAAUUUUUGGACCAUUUGAUGUGAGCUUGCCUACGAACAAUGAUGUGAGCUUGCCUACGAGCCAAAUGGAGAACGAACAAGAAGCCAUUAAGCUGCCCAUUGGUCCAAUAACGCGAGCUAGAGCUAAACGAUUCAAAGAUGCUAUUUUAGCAAUGGUGGAACGGGUUGAGGAAAAUGAUAGCAAGGAGUUUAAAAACGAGCUGAACAUAUUCAACUUCUUUGAAGCUGAAUUUUGUUCUAGCUAAUUAAUUUGCUGCUGGAAUUUUAGACCAUUUAAAUAAGCAUUUAAAUAAGUUUCAUUACAGCUUUUAAAUAUGUCUUAAUUUAUUACAAGUGUUUAAUAUGUUGAUUUGGUUGAAUUAAAGGUGUCUAGAUGUCAUUUAAUUUGUUUGAAUAUAUUACAUGAAUUAACUAUGUUCAGCCGAAUUAAUGUGUCUUGUUUAGUACAUAUUUAAUUCGGCUUAAUGUUAAUUAGUAUGUUCAUAUUAUGUUUUAAAUUAAUUCAGCUGAAUUGAGUUAAAUUAAUGAGGUUCAUUUGUUUUAUUUAGGUUCAGCCGAAUGUGGAAGAUGCAUGGGAAAGGUUGGCCGAAUGUGGUGUGCAAGAUGCAUGCAUGUUGGAUUCAAUGCACCUAAUGAUACAUGCAUGAACUACAUUAAAAAUGGUGUGCUGAUUAUUGAAGUUCUCUAAGUGACCAUUCGGCUAAAGAGAUAGUUUUUCAAGCUGCCAUUAUUUCCUUCACAUUGCUGGAUACAUUUUGGCCAUUCGGUUCUUGGUGUUCACAUUUUAAGGCUCUUCAAAACCGUCCAUUCACACCUAAUGUGGCUGUUCAAGUGCCCUCUUUAUUAUUGAUAAUUUUUCAGCAAGAGUUGCCUAUUGAAUGAUCAUUUAAGCUCAUCAGCUGAAUGUAGCUGUUACAUGCAUUCCCAAGAUUCAUUUGCUUAAUAUGGAAGCUUCAUGUAUGAUCACUAUUCAGCCGAACCUACAUUGGCCAUUUUUGUUCAAUGUUUGCUUAGAAACUAAGUCUAGAAUAUGUCCAUUCGGCUACUAGGCAUUAGGCUAUAAAUAGUUACUCAUUUUUUUGUAAAAGGACUUUUGACAAAUUUCUGAAUGAAAUAUCAUUUUAGUGAGGCAAUUCACUCUCUUUAUUCUCCAAAGCUCAAAUUGACUUAUCUUCAACAAGUGGCGUCAAUCUGACUUUGUUUCGAACUUAUCACCAUUGGUGUGGCGUUCUUCAUACCGUAGGUUCCUAUUUUGCUAAAUAGAGGAUCUCGGUUUAUCCCAAAUCCUUUCUUUCUUUAAAACCUUAAGCCCCGGGUCCUUAUUUGCUAAUAAGGGUUCGACUUGUUUUCAUUGAAAUAUCCAGCAAACAACACUCCAUCAAACUCCCUUGUUUCCCAAAGCCAUUUAAUUUUAAACACCAAGACUUGAAUUUAUUUCAAGGCCGACACUACCUAAUUUCGAUCGGGAAAUAUUACGACUCGUUAUUUCAUACGAAACGAGCUCGUAUCACCAUUUAAAUAAGCAUUUAAUUAAGUUUUACUACAGAUUAUAAGUAUGUCUUUAUUUAAUAUAAGUGUUUAAUAUGUCUUGAUUUAGUUAAAUUAAAGAUGUCUUGAUUUCACUUAGUUUGUCUAAAUUAAUACAUGUCUUAAAUCUAUCCAGCCGAAUUUAUGUGUCAUGUUUUAUUAAUAUUUAAGUUGUCUCAAUGAUAAUUAGGAUGUUCACAUUAUGCUUUAAUUUAGUUCAGCUGAAUUUGCUUGAAAUUAAUUAAGUUCAUGUGUGUUUUCAGGUGCAGCCGAAUUUGAUGAUACAUUGGGAAGAUUCAUGCAUGUAGAUUCAAUGAAUGUGAAGAUGCAUGUACAGCUGGUACAAUUCAUGCAUUGAAGCUGAAUUAAUUUGGUCAUUCUUCAAAGCAACUAUUCAGCCAAUUCAUCACCCCAAGUCAUGGCCGAUUCUCUUCUCAAGGGAGCAUAAAAGCUGUUCACACCAUGGUUGUUCGGUUCAGCCAUGUUCACACCUUAUGGCCCUUCAAAACCGUCCAUUCACACUUCCAAAUGGCUGUUCAAGUUGCUAAUUAAUGCUGGUAAUUUUUCAGCAAGAGUUGCUUCAUGAAUUACCUCAUUAAACUCCAUUAGCCAAAUGUAGCUGCUGCUAAUUUCCAAAGUUCAUUGGAAGCUAUUCCUUGGUCCCUAUUCAACCGAACCUUGAAGCAAGUUCAUUCAUGAAUUUUAGCUAAAAUUUAGUUCAAUGUUUGCUUAGUUUUUAAGCUUUGAAUUGUCCAUUCGGUUACUAGAACUUAGGCUAUAAAUAGUUGCUGAUUCUUGUAAAAGGACUUUUUGACAAAUUUUUGAAUGAAUGAUAUUUUUGGUGAGUUAAUUCACUCUCCUUAUUCUCCAAAGCUCAAUUGACUUAUCUUCACAAGUGGCAUCAAUUUGACUUUGUUUCGAACUUUCACCAUUAGGUGUGGCGUUCUUCAUACCAUGGGUUCCUAUUUUGCUAAAUAGAGGGUCUCGCUUUUUAUCCUUAUUUCUUUCUCCUUUCUUUGAAACCUUAAGCCCGGGUCCUUAUUUGCUAAUAAGGGUUCGUUCUUGUUUCAUUGGAAACUCUUCAAACUCAAACCAACAAACACCUUUGCUUCCUAACCAUUUAUCUUUUAAAAUUCAAAGGCUGAAUUUGUAUUAAAUUGACACUACCUAAUUUUGAUGAGGAAUUAUUUAUGACUCGUUACAUCUUUCAAAAUGAGCUCGUAUCAAGAGGGUUACGCGCGAACCAAGAUCAAGUUAUCAAGUCACGAGAAAAUUCCUACGAGGCUCUAGACGGUCAGAUCUGAAACGAAACAAAGAAUUGAAGUUAGAUUCGAUUAGAUCUAAAAUAAAAACCAAUAAUGAACAGCAAGAAUCAAAAACACCCUUAGAGACGGCUAUUCUUGGAAACCAAGAAUCGAUUUGAACUUAGGAAGUAAUUCCCCAACAGCUGAUCCUAUCAAUUACUAAAGAAAAAAAAUUAGAAUUCAAAUCAAAGAAAACAAUCAGAUUUUAAAUAGAAAAUUAGGGAUUUGGGUCGGCAAAAAGAAAAGAAAAAAAUUUAGGAAUUAAAACGGUUCUUGAAACCCAAGGAGAUGUUGAUUUGCCCAAAUCGAAACAGGAACUAAUUUUUUCCCAAAAAUUCCAGCAACCGAAUCAAUCAGAUUUGAAAAGAAGAAAUCGACAAGAACAAUGAAGUUUAGGGAUCUUGAACGAUCUUUGCUGCCAAUAACAAGGGGGGCGAUCCGAUCUUUUAUGAAGAAGGGGGCGAAUCAGAUCUUGGAUGUUUUGGAAAGUCUGAAACACAACAAGAACAACAAAUAAAUUAAUUAAAUAGAAAUCAACGCAAGCAGGUUUUAAAAAGAAAGAAUGACAGCAAGAAAUAAAUAUAAGUCCUAAGAAGUGAUACGGGGUUGCGCGCGGACCAAGAUCGAGUUACCAAGUCAUGGGAAACUCCUACGAAAACCCUAAACAAUUAGAUCCGAAACGAAACAGAAAAAUUAAAAGAUUAGAACUUUGAAUUUCCAUAUCUGAAAUAAAAUCCCCAAAUCAGCAAAGAAUCAAAUUGAGAAUAGAAAUAAGUGUUAGGGUUCUUGAAACCCUCAAGGAGAUUGUGAUUCUGCCCAAUUGAACACCAAGAUAGUUUUCCCCAAAUUUCGACAAUCUAAUUUCACCCAAAAAGAGUAUGGAAAAACCCUAGAAAUUGGGGAUUUUUGGGCUGAUUCCUUAAGAUAGAAAAAGGCUGAAAACACAAUAAGAACAGAAAAUAGAUUAGAUAAUGAUUCAACACAAGUAGAAAUAAAGAAAGAAUUGACAGUAAGAAAUUAAAAGAUAAGUCCUAAGAAGCCUUGAAAUCUCGAAAGAUCUCACAACUCCCUUCAAACGGCUCUAAUCUCCCCUCCAAAGAAUAUCAAUGGCAAGAAGAAGGUUGAAGAUGGCUCCCACAAUCACAAGAUUGUUAAAACAACUUCUAAAGAAAACUCAAGAGAAAAAUCUUGGAGAAAACUCAAAGAAAAUUCUGCUCUCAACAAAUCUGAAAUUUUAAUAAUAAUGAUAAGUGUUUAACAAGGUGGACAGCCAUGCCUUUAAAUAGGCCUUAUAACUAGUCCUAAUCUAAUUAGAAAACUAAAAUAAAAAAACUCCUAAUUAUUUUAAUAUGGAAAUUCGGUCAAAGGUCAUUUUAUUUGGGACUCUUGGAUUGAAUAUUGACAUAAAAAAUUAAACUAAGUAAAUAAAUAAAUAUAAAUAAAAAUAAAACUUUACAACUUGGGCCACUUUGACAAUUUGGCCUGAUUUUCAACUAAGUAUGGAUGGAUUUCUUGAUUGGGCUGGGAAUUUGCUUAUUGGGCCUCGCCUUCAAGAAUUUGGGCUUUUGUGACUCGUAUCAUUCCCCCCUUCCUCAAAAAGAUUCGUCCUCGAAUCUGAAAAAUCAAAUGAACUCGACUUUCCUCUAUCGAACGGGACUAAUGGCAAUUGAGUCCACUGAAAAGAAUAGCCAUGAGAUAGUAAAUAGCAACGGAAACAAGCUUGUAGUCCAAUCAUAAGCAUAACAGAACAGGUAUAACGCAUGUGAAUGGACAGAUUUAGAUUACCAUGCAAACAAUCUAAUUUACUCACCACUGCCUCGUCAAAUAUUUGAAACAAAGAUGGACAUGUUUUAAGGCAUUCAGUCGUCUCACAUUGUUCCCACAAACCAUGAAUAAAUUGCGAGUAAUAAAUCAAAUGGUAAACAUAAUCGUCACAAGUAGGUAUUUGAAAAGAUUCACAUGGUUCACAGAGUUGCAUAAUCAUACCAUGCAUUAAUCGACGGUCUAUAGAUUCACUCACACAUGCAUUAUCAAAAACAAGAAUCUUUUUAUCAACCAUCAAAACAGAUAGAUCAUCAAUAAAUAAAAUAGGACAGUCAAGCACGUUUCGAUCUAAGUGUUCAUCAACACGAUCUUUAUCACUAUCUGAGGAGUACAAAAGUGUUUCAAAGGUUUCAAGCAUCUUACCUCGAUAAGCAGAAGAAUAAGGGUCGAUUUUACCUUUUUCAUUUAAAACAAACCUUCGCUCAUCGGGGGCAUAGUGAUACGGGGUUGCGCACGGACCAAGAUCGAGUUGCCAAGUCACGAGAAACUCCUACGAAAACCCUAAACAAUUAGAUCUGAAACGAAACAGAAAAUUAAAAGAUUAGAUUUUUGAAUUUUUAGAUUUGAAAUAAAAUCCCCAAAACAGUAAAGAAUCAAAUAGAGAAUAGAAAUAAGUGUUAAUAAGGAAUCUUGAAACCCUAGAAGAGAUUGCGAUUCUGCCCAAUUGAACACCCAGAUAGUUUUCCCCAAAUUUCGACAAUCUAAUUUCUCCCAAAAAGAGUAUGGAUGAAUCAGCAAGGACCCUAAAAAUUGGGGAUUUUUGGGCUAAUUCCUUAAGAUAGAAAAAGGCUAAAAACACAAUAAGAACAGAAAAUAAAUUAGAUAAAGAUUCGGCACAAGCAGAAAUAAAGAAAGAAUUGACAGUAAGAAAUUAAAAGAUAAGUCCUAAGAAGCCUUGAAAUCCCGAAAGAUCUCACAACUCCCUUCAAACGGCUCUAAUCUCCCCUCCAAAGAAUAUCAAUGGCAAGAAGAAGGUUGAAGAUGGCUCCCACAAUCACAAGAUUGUUAAAACAACUUCUAAAGAAAACUCAAGAGAAAAAUCUUGGAGAAAACUCAAAGAAAAUUCUGCUCUCAACAAAUCUGAAAUUUUAAUAAUAAUGAUAAGUGUUUAACAAGGUGGACAGCCAUGCCUUUAAAUAGGCCUUAUAACUAGUCCUAAUCUAAUUAGAAAACUAAAAUAAAAAAAACUCCUAAUUAUUUUAAUAUGGAAAUUCGGUCAAAGGUCAUUUUAUCUGGGACUCUUGGACUGAAUAUUGACAUAAAAAUUUAAACUAAGUAAAUAAAAAAUAAAAAUAAAAAUAAAACUUUACAACUUGGGCCACUUUGACAAUUUGGCCUGAUUUUCAACUAAGUAUGGAUGGAUUUCUUGAUUGGGCUGGGAAUUUUCUUAUUGGGCCUUGCCCUCAAGAAUUUGGGCUUGUGAUCCAUCUCCUACCGAAAUUGAAUCGUUGAUGCUCGUAAUGGAGAUCCAAUGCGCUUUGGCUGCAAGAUUUGGUGUCUUGGACCAAGAUUCCCAAUAUUUGAAAUCUUAAUUUUCCCUUUCUUUUGUGUACGCAUCUAAGGCCUUACUAACAAACUCCUGGAUGGUCCCAUUUAGUUUGGAACGCAUUUGUCGGGCCUUUGAUCUCGUAUCAUUCCCCCCUUCCUCAAAAAGAUUCGUCCUCGAAUCUGAAAAAUCAAAUGGGGACAAGUCAGCCACAUUAAAAGUAGAACUUACAUUGUACUCACCAGGUAGAUCAAUUUUAUAGGCAUUAUCGUUGAUCCUCUCGAGUACUUGGAAAGGCCCAUCGCCCCUUGGGUCCAACUUGGUCUUUCUUCUUGCAGGAAAUUGUUCUUUCCUCAUAUGGACCCAAACCCAAUCUCCGGGUUCUAGGACAACCCGUUUGCGCCCCUUGUUUGCUUUGUUGGUGUUGGCAUCAUAUGUUUUGGCUAUUCGUUGCCUAGCCUGCUCAUGUAAGGAUUUCACCAACUCAGCUUUCUGUUCACCAUCUAAAUUAACAAUGUGUUCAAGUGGUAAUGGCGCAAGAUCAAGUACUGUUAGUGGGUUAAAACCAUAAACAAGUUCAAAUGGAGAAUAACCAGUUGUAGAAUGAAUAGAUCUAUUAUAUGCAAAUUCAACAAACGGUAGGCAUUCUUCCCAAUUUCUAAUGUUCUUUCCCACAACAGAUCGUAAUAAAGUCCCUAAGAUCCGAUUAACUACUUCGGUUUGGCCAUCAGUUUGGGGGUGACAUGUAGUGGAAUAAAGUAAUUUAGUACCAAGCUUACCCUACAAUACCUUCCAAAAGUGGCUAAGAAAUUUGACAUCUCUGUCAGAAACAAUUGUUUUAGGGAUGCCAUGAAGUCUUACCACCUCUUUAAAGAAUAAGUCUGCUACAUGUGUAGCAUCAUCUGUUUUGUGACAAGAAAUAAAAUGUGCCAUCUUUGAGAACCUGUCAACAACAACAAAUAUACUAUCUCUUCCUUUCUUAUUUCGAGGCAAACCUAGAAUAAAGUCCAUGGAUAAAUCUACCCAAGGUGAAGUAGGAAUCGGUAAAGGAGUGUAAAGGCCAUGAGGCAUUACCUUAGAUUUUCCUUGUUUGCAUGUAAUGCACUUGGAACAUACCUUUUCGACAUCCUUUUUCAUUUGUGGCCAAUGGAAGUGUUCUUGCAAGAUAUCUAGUGUUUUGGCCACUCCAAAAUGUCCCAUUAAACCUCCACUAUGGGCCUCAUGAAUCAAUAAGUCUCUCAUGGAACACUUUGGUAUGCAUAACCUGUUCAUACGAAAAAGAAAGCCAUCUACAAGAUAAAAUUUAUCGAAAGCAGUAUGUCCACAAUUCUUAUAGAUAUGGCCGAAAUCAGCAUCAUCAUCAUAUAGUUCCUUAAUAUGUUCGAACCCUAAGACUUUAGCAUUUAAUGUAGUUAUUAAAGUAUAUCGUCUAGACAAAGCAUCUGCAACUACAUUAUCUUUACCUGUUUUAUAUUGUAUCACAUAAGGGAAUGUUUCAAUGAAUUCUACCCAUCGAACAUGUCUUUUACUCAACUUACCUUGUCCCUUUAACCAUUUAAGAGAUUCGUGAUCUGUGUGUAUGACAAACUCAUUAGGCAGCAAAUAAUGUUGCCAUACUUGAAGUGCACGAACUAAUGCUAAUAGUUCUUUGUCAUAAGUCGAGUAGUUUAACUGUGCACCAUUCAAUUUCUCACUAAAAUAAGCAAUAGGUUGCUUAUCUUGCAUUAAAACAGUGCCAAUUCCAAUUCCUGAAGCAUCACACUCAAGUUCAAAAGUUUUAGCAAAAUCAGGUAAUUUAAGCAAAGGAGCAGAACAUAACUUAGCUUUUAGAGUUUGAAAAGCUUUUUCUUGGGUGUCACCCAAUUUGAAACCCACUGAUUUCUUUAUAACUUCAGUCAAUGGGGCAGCAAUAGUAGAGAAAUCUUUCACAAAUCGUCUAUAAAAACUGGCUAAACCAUGGAAAGAUCUCACCUCAGUUACCGAUUUAGGAGUCGGCCACUCCUUAAUUGCCAAAUGAUACGGGGUUGCGCGCGGACCAAGAUCGAGUUGCCAAGUCACGAGAAACUCGUACGAAAACCCUAAACAAUUAGAUCUGAAACGAAAACAAAAAAUUAAAAGAUUAGAUUUUUGAAUUUUCAGAUCUGAAAUAAAAUCCCCAAAACAGUAAAGAAUCAAAUAGAGAAUAGAAAUAAGUGUUAGGGUUCUUGAAACCCUCAAGGAGAUUGUGAUUCUGCCCAAUUGAACACCAAGAUAGUUUUCCCCAAAUUUCGACAAUCUAAUUUCACCCAAAAAGAGUAUAGAAAAACCCUAGAAAUUGGGGAUUUUUGGGCUGAUUCCUUAAGAUAGAAAAAGGCUGAAAACACAAUAAGAACAGAAAAUAGAUUAGAUAAUGAUUCAGCACAAGUAGAAAUAAAGAAAGAAUUGACAGCAAGAAAUUAAAAGAUAAGUCCUAAGAAGCCUUGAAAUCUCGAAAGAUCUCACAACUCCCUUCAAACGGCUCUAAUCUCCCCUCCAAAGAAUAUCAAUGGCAAGAAGAAGGUUGAAGAUGGCUCCCACAAUCAAAAGAUUGUUAAAACAACUUCUAAAGAAAACUCAAGAGAGAAAUCUUGGAGAAAACUCAAAGAAAAUUCUGCUCUCAACAAAUCUGAAAUUUUAAUAAUAAUGAUAAGUGUUUAACAAGGUGGACAGCCAUGCCUUUAAAUAGGCCUUAUAACUAAUCCUAAUCUAAUUAGAAAACUAAAAAAAAAACUCCUAAUUAUUUUAAUAUGGAAAUUCGGUCAAAGGUCAUUUUAUCUGUGACUCUUGGACUGAAUAUUGACAUAAAAAUUUAAACUAAGUAAAUAAAUAAAUAAAAAUAAAAAUAAAACUUUACAACUUGGGCCACUUUGACAAUUUGGCCUGAUUUUCAACUAAGUAUGGAUGGAUUUCUUGAUUGGGCUGGGAAUUUGCUUAUUGGGCCUUGCCUUCAAGAAUUUGGGCUUUUGUGACUCGUAUCAUUCCCCCCUUCCUCAAAAAGAUUCAUCCUCGAAUCUGAAAAAUCAAAUGAACUCAACUUUCCUCUAUCGAACGGGACUAAUGGCAAUUGAGUCCACUGAAAAGAAUAGCCAUGAGAUAGUAAAUAGCAACGGAAACAAGCUUGUAGUCCAAUCAUAAGCAUAACAGAACAGGUAUAACGCAUGUGAAUGGACAGAUUUAGAUUACCAUGCAAACAAUCUAAUUUACUCACCACUGCCUCGUCAAAUAUUUGAAACAAAGAUGGAAAUGUUUUAAGGCAUUCAGUCGUCUCACAUUGUUCCCACAAACCAUGAAUAAAUUGCGAGUAAUAAAUCAAAUGGUAAACAUAAUCGUCACAAGUAGGUAUUUGAAAAGAUUCACAUGGUUCACAGAGUUGCAUAAUCAUACCAUGCAUUAAUCGACGGUCUAUAGAUUCACUCACACAUGCAUUAUCAAAAACAAGAAUCUUUUUAUCAACCAUCAAAACAGAUAGAUCAUCAAUAAAUAAAAUAGGACAGUCAAGCACGUUUCGAUCUAAGUGUUCAUCAACACGAUCUUUAUCACUAUCCGAGGAGUACAAAAGUGUUUCAAAGGUUUCAAGCAUCUUACCCCGAUAAGCAGAAGAAUAAGGGUCGAUUUUACCUUUUUCAUUUAAAACAAACCUUCGCUCAUCGGGGGCAUAGUGUAGUCGAAUCUUCGUUGUUGAGUUAACGUUUGUCAAAUGGAACUCAAACUUCAUGUACAACCACAUAAACUGUUUAAGGCACGAAUAUAAAUUGAAAACAAAUUUGGAAAAUUUCGUUACCUUAUUCUCCAAAACAGAUUUGGACAAAUUCGAGGAUUUUACACAAGGUAAAUCAAGAGAAUAACAAAUCACGCUUCUUUUCGUAAGGACUUUAUCAACCACAAUCGAAGAGUAACAAUUAAUCAGAUCAAAAUGAGGGGAUCUUUUAAGAACUAAGUCACCAAAAGUUUUAUCAAUAAUUUUCAAAUCUGCACUGGACUCGGUUUCUAAAUUUUCCUUACCUCGCUUACCUUCGGGAUCAUGUAGUGUGAUUUCAUCUUUGCUUAAGUUGAUCGUAUGAAAGCGUCUUUCAUUUGAGAGGUAUUGAAGUUGAAAGUUAUCUUUCGAUCUUUCGGGAACCUGAAAAGUAGCAACACAAGAAAAAUUCAUAUCUUGGUUAGUGGAAACAUUCCUCACUAGCCUUUCCUCGUCUUUUUCUUUUGUUUCUUUUUCUAACUCAUUUUCUCUUCUUUCUUCAACUUCUUUUUCAAUUUUCUUUUUUGUUUCACAUUCCUUUUCACUCUCAAUCUCUUUUUGCUCUUUUUCAUUCUCUUUUUCUUUUUCCUCACUUGUUUUAACAACAGAAUUUUUCAGUUUGAUUUGGUCCUCAUGGACUUGUUCCGGAGUGAGCGGCACUAAGGUGAUUUUCCUUCCUUGAUACUUGAAAGAAUACCUAUUGGUACGACCAUCGUGAGUGACUUUUCGAUCCAGUUGCCAUGGUUCUCCUAGCAACAAAUGGCAGGCUUGAAUAGGUACUACGUCGCACACGACUUCGUCUUGAUAUUUACCGAUAGAAAAGGCGAUGCGCACUUGUUGAGUGACCUUAAAUUGGAUUUCGUUGCUAAGCCCUUGUAGUUGAUAAGGUCGUGGAUGCUUGGUAGUGCUUAAGCAAAGCUUUUCCACCAUCGUCGUGCUGGCUACGUUCGAGCAACUUUCACCAUCAAUAAUAACUCUAAAAAGCUUACCUUGUACAUGGCAGCGAGUAUGAAAGAGAUGUUCUCGUUGCUGCUCGCUCUUUGGUUUUGCCAAAGAAGGUUGCCCACGAUCAUGAAAAUCAUCAUCCAUUCUAUUGACACGUCGAGGGCCGCGCCUUUUGGGUUGGUUAUCCCUAUCUUCUUUGAUUGGAUCUCGAUAUUGAGGUUCUUGAUUCAACUGCACCUCAUUGAUGGUAGCAGUCAAAGCUCGAAGAGCAGCAGCCUGUUCAUCCAACUGUUGUUGGAAUUUUUUAAAUAUGUCACUAUUAGUAUCACCUGUAGACAUUUUUUUUAAACCUGCAAAACACUCAACACUCAAAAAUAAAAGUUAUCAAACCUCACCGUUAAUCACUCAAAAAGAAAAAAUCAAAUUCUCAAUGAGGUCGAAUUCAAUCUUGUGAGUUCUUUAUCAGAGUUUAUAUCAACCAAUUAGAGAAUGUGAACCAAACUACCAAAGAAUCCUAAUUUGCACUAGGAUGCCAAAAACUGACGAGACACCAAGUGAUUCGUGUUACACCGAGGAAGGAGUUGUGCACACGUGUAAAUCCUACUAACACAAGAAACAAGAAGAUGUUAGAUAACGUAACAGAAGAAUAAAAAGCAAACAAAUGAAAACCUACAGCUAAGAAUCAAUAAAAAUUGCUAAAACCAGAAAACCCGAAAAACUACGGAGUAACUUGACAACUUCGUUAGAGGUGUUCCUGAUCUCCAAAAAUCACGAAAUUAAAUCUGGAGUGUCCUUAUAUAUUGAAUUUUUGAUCUUGAAAUUUUGGGCACCAAAUUCAACCCGCUGACUCUUUUUUUAAAUUUUUAUUGAAUUUCGUCUUUUUUGAUUUUUUUGACUUUUUUGACUGAUUUUUUUGCGGGAAUAAUUUUUUAAUAUUCAAUCACAGUGCCAAAAAUAUGUAUGUAAAAUUUCAGAUCAAUCGGACAACGUUUACCCACUCAAAUGAAUUUUUUUUGAAUAAUUUUUGGGUAAAACUGCUGUUUAUGCUUUAAAAAAUAGAGAUCAGUUUAGAAAUCAACCAAGAACACCCAAAACACCCAAAAUCUGAUACCAAAUGAUACGGGGUUGCGCGCGGACCAAGAUCGAGUUGCCAAGUCACGAGAAACUCGUACGAAAACCCUAAACAAUUAGAUCUGAAACGAAAACAGAAAAUUAAAAGAUUAGAUUUUUGAAUUUUCAGAUCUGAAAUAAAAUCCCCAAAACAGUAAAGAAUCAAAUAGAGAAUAGAAAUAAGUGUUAGGGUUCUUGAAACCCUCAAGGAGAUUGUGAUUCUGCCCAAUUGAACACCAAGAUAGUUUUCCCCAAAUUUCGACAAUCUAAUUUCACCCAAAAAGAGUAUAGAAAAACCCUAGAAAUUGGGGAUUUUUGGGCUGAUUCCUUAAGAUAGAAAAAGGCUGAAAACACAAUAAGAACAGAAAAUAGAUUAGAUAAUGAUUCAGCACAAGUAGAAAUAAAGAAAGAAUUGACAGCAAGAAAUUAAAAGAUAAGUCCUAAGAAGCCUUGAAAUCUCGAAAGAUCUCACAACUCCCUUCAAACGGCUCUAAUCUCCCCUCCAAAGAAUAUCAAUGGCAAGAAGAAGGUUGAAGAUGGCUCCCACAAUCAAAAGAUUGUUAAAACAACUUCUAAAGAAAACUCAAGAGAGAAAUCUUGGAGAAAACUCAAAGAAAAUUCUGCUCUCAACAAAUCUGAAAUUUUAAUAAUAAUGAUAAGUGUUUAACAAGGUGGACAGCCAUGCCUUUAAAUAGGCCUUAUAACUAGUCCUAAUCUAAUUAGAAAACUAAAAUAAAAAAAACUCCUAAUUAUUUUAAUAUGGAAAUUCGGUCAAAGGUCAUUUUAUCUGGGACUCUUGGACUGAAUAUUGACAUAAAAAUUUAAACUAAGUAAAUAAAUAAAUAAAAAUAAAAAUAAAACUUUACAACUUGGGCCACUUUGACAAUUUGGCCUGAUUUUCAACUAAGUAUGGAUGGAUUUCUUGAUUGGGCUGGGAAUUUGCUUAUUGGGCCUCGCCUUCAAGAAUUUGGGCUUUUGUGACUCCUAUCACAUAGUGUAGUCGAAUCUCCGUUGUUGAGUUAACCUUUGUCAAAUGGAACUCAAACUUCAUGUACAACCACAUAAACUGUUUAAGGCACGAAUAUAAAUUGAAAACAAAUUUGGAAAAUUUUGUUACCUUAUUCUCCAAAACAGAUUUGGACAAAUUCGAGGAUUUUACACAAGGUAAAUCAAGAGAAUAACAAAUCACGCUUCUUUUCGUAAUGACUUUAUCAACCACAAUCGAAGAGUAACAAUUAAUCGGAUCAAAAUGAGGGGAUCUUUUAAGAACUAAGUCACCAAAAGUUUUAUCAAUAAUUUUCAAAUCUGCACUGGACUCGGUUUCUAAAAUUUCCUUACCUCGCUUACCUUCGGGAUCAUGUAGUGUGAUUUCAUCUUUGCCUAAGUUGAUCGUAUGAAAGCGUCUUUCAUUUGAGAGUUAUUGAAGUUGAAAGUUAUCUUUCGAUCUUUCGGGAACCUGAAAAGUAGCAACACAAGAAAAAUUCAUAUCUUGGUUAGUGGAAACAUUCCUCACUACCCUUUCCACGUCUUUUUCUUUUGUUUCUUUUUCUAAUUCAUUUUCUCUUCUUUCUUCAAUUUCUUUUUCACUCUCAAUCUCUUUUUGCUCUUUUUCAUUCUCUUUCUCUUUUUCCUCACUUGUUUUAACAGAAUUUUUCAGUUUGAUUUGGUCCUCAUGGACUUGUUCCAGAGUGAGCGGCACUAAGGUGAGUUUCUUUCCUUGAUGCUUGAAAGAAUACCUAUUGGUAGGACCAUCGUGAGUGACUUUUCGAUCCAGUUGCCACGGUUCUCCUAGCAACAAAUGGCAGGCUUGAAUAGGCAUUACGUCGCACACAACUUCGUCUUGAUACUUACCGAUAGAAAAGGCGAUGCGCACUUGUUGAGUGACCCUAAAUUGGCCUUCGUUGCUAAGCCCUUGUAGUUGAUAAGGUUGUGGAUGCUUGGUAGUGGUUAAGCAAAGCUUUUCCACCAUCGUCGUGCUGGCUAUGUUCGAGCAACUUUCACCAUCAAUAAUAACUCUACAAAGCUUACCUUGUACGUGGCAGCGAGUAUGAAAGAGAUGUUCUCGUUGCUGCUCGCUCCUUGGUUUUGCCAAAGAUGAUUGUCCAUGAUCAUGACAAUCAUCAUCCAUUCUAGGGACACGUUGAGGGUUGCGCCUAUGGGGCUGGUUAUUCCUAUAUUCUUUGAUUGGAUUUCGAUAUUGAGGUUCUUGAUUCAAUUGCACCUCAUUGAUGGUAGCAGUCAAAGCUCGAAGGGUAGCAUUUAUUUGUGUGAUUGCAGUAGCGUGUCCUUCUAACUGUUGUUGGACUUCCAUAAGUGUAUCAUUAUGGUCAUCUUUAGACAUCUUCCAAAAAAGCUGCAAAAAUAAACACUCAACACUCAAAAAUAAAAGUUAGCAAACCUCACGUUAAUCACUCAAAAAGAAAAUUCAAAUUCUCAAUGAGGUAGAAUUCAAUCUUGUGAGUUCUUUAUCAAAGUUUAUAUCAACCAAUUAGAGAGUGGAUGAACCGAUCUACCAAAGAAUCCUAAUGUGCACUAGGAUGCCAAAAACUGACGAGACACCAAUUGAUUCGUGUUGCACCGAGGAAGAAUUGGGCACACGUUUAAAUCCUACUAACACAAAAAACAAGAAGGUGUUAGAUAUUUUAAAGGGAGAAUAAAAAGCAAACAAAUGAAAACCUACAGCUAAGAAUCAAUAAAAAUUGUUGAAAACAGAAAACCCGAAAAACUACGGAGUAAUUUGACAACUUUGUUCGAGGUGUUCCCGAUCUCAAAAAAUCACAAAAUUAAAUAUGGAAUGUCUUCAAAUAUUGAAUUUUUGAUCUGGAAAAUUUGGACACCAAAUUCAACCCGCUGAAUAUUUUUUUAAUUUUUUAUUGGAUUUCGUAUUUUUUCAAUUUUUUGACUUUUUCGACUUAUUUUUUUGCGGGAAAUAUUUUUGUAUAUUCAAUAAUAGUGCCAAAAAUAUGUAUGUAAAAUUUCAGAUCAAUCAGAAAACGUUUACCCACUCAAAUGAAUUUUUUUCAAAAAUUUUUCUGGGUAAAACUGCUGUUUGUAAUUUAAAAAAUAAAGAUCAGUUUAGAAAUCAACCAAGAACACCCAAAACGCCCAAAAUCUGAUACCAAAUGAUACGGGGUUGCGCGCGGACCAAGAUCGAGUUGCCAAGUCACGGGAAACUCCUACGAAAACCCUAAACAAUCAGAUCCGAAACGAAACAGAAAAAUUAAAAGAUUAGAACUUUGAAUUUCCAGAUCUGAAAUAAAAUCCCCAAAUCAGCAAAGAAUCAAAUUGAGAAUAGAAAUAAGUGUUAGGGUUCUUGAAACCCUCAAGGAGAUUGUGAUUCUGCCCAAUUGAACACCAAGAUAGUUUUCCCCAAAUUUCGACAAUCUAAUUUCACCCAAAAAGAGUAUGGAAAAACCCUAGAAAUUGGGGAUUUUUGGGCUGAUUCCUUAAGAUAGAAAAAGGCUAAAAACACAAUAAGAACAGAAAAUAGAUUAGAUAAUGAUUCAGCACAAGUAGAAAUAAAGAAAGAAUUGACAGUAAGAAAUUAAAAGAUAAGUCCUAAGAAGCCUUGAAAUCUCGAAAGAUCUCACAACUCCUUUCAAACGGCUCUAAUCUCCCCUCCAAAGAAUAUCAAUGGCAAGAAGAAGGUUGAAGAUGGCUCCCACAAUCACAAGAUUGUUAAAACAACUUCUAAAGAAAACUCAAGAGAAAAAUCUUGGAGAAAACUCAAAGAAAAUUCUGCUCUCAACAAAUCUGAAAUUUUAAUAAUAAUGAUAAGUAUUUAACAAGGUGGACAGCCAUGCCUUUAAAUAGGCCUUAUAACUAGUCCUAAUCUAAUUAGAAAACUAAAAUAAAAAAAACUCCUAAUUAUUUUAAUAUGGAAAUUCGGUCAAAGGUCAUUUUAUCUGGGACUCUUGGACUGAAUAUUGACAUAAAAAUUUAAACUAAGUAAAUAAAUAAAUAAAUAAAUAAAUAAAUAAAAAUAAAACUUUACAACUUGGGCCACUUUGACAAUUUGGCCUGAUUUUCAACUAAGUAUGGAUGGAUUUCUUGAUUGGGCUGGGAAUUUGCUUAUUGGGCCUCGCCUUCAAGAAUUUGGGCUUUUGUGACUCGUAUCAAGAAGCCUUAAAAUCGAGAAAGAUUUCACAACUCCCUUCAAACGGCUCUAAUCUCCCCUCCAAUGAAGAACAAUGGCAAGAAGAAGGCUGAAAAUGGCUCCCACAAUCAAAAAGAUUGUUAAAACUACUUCUAAAGAAAACUCAAGAGAGAAUUCUUGGAGAAAACUCAAAGAGAAUUUCUACUCAGAAAAAUCUGAAAUUUUUAAUGUAAAGUAAUGUGUUUACUAGGGUGGCUGGCCAUGUGAUACGACCAUGCCCCGGGCACACUUUUGGAUCAGCUCCCUAAGCAUUGUUUGCAAAUCCAUGCGAGCUGAAUUAGUUCAAUUUCAUUUCGUUAAGCUCCGUUUAGCUCGUUUCCAGCUCACUCGAGCUCAAGUCAACUCACUCAAGCUCAAUUCAGCUCAAUCUUAACCCAAUGAGCUUAUUUUUAGCUUUUUUUAGCUUGCAUUUAUUUUGCUGAAAUAAACCAUUUAAUUUGUCAUUAGUUAAAUUAGUUGUUUAUCUUAAGUUAGUUAAUUUGUUAAAAUCUGGACAAAUAAUUAAUUAAGUGUUUUAAUUAUAUCUAAAUUAAAUACUUAAUUAAUUAUGAUGUUUUAAAUAUGUCUAAAAUUGUUAAUAUGUAUGGCCAAAUUUAAUGUGCAAAUUAUUGAGUUCAUAUGCUGCUAAUUUAAUGUGUUUGAAAUGCAUUUAACUUGCUGAUUUAAUUUGCUGCAGGUUCAUGAACGGAUUGGUGCAAUGUAUGGGAGUGUGCAUGCACAAUUGAGGUUCAAUGGAUGGCAUUUAAAGGAGCACAUGCAUUUGGGACGUUCAUGCAAGAGGGAGUUGCUGAAAGUUCAUGUAUUUGAAGAUUCAUGGAUCAUAUUUAUGGGGGAAAAUACAUGGGACGUUUCAUGCAUGAUUCAUGCAUUUUCAAGAUGACCAUUCAAGUAUUUUAGGCACAUUAAUGCCUCAUUCAGCCAAGGGAGAUGUAGGAUCAUUAAAGAGCUGCACAUUUAUGGAAUUAUGGAGAUUCUUCAAGGCUAAGGUUGCAUGAAAGCAUCAAGUGAAGCAUCAUGAUGGUUCAGCCAAUUCAUGUACCAUCUUCAAGCAUGAACUGGAUUUUAAUGCUAUUUGUGUGAACAUGUUAAAUACCUGUGUGAACAGAAUUUAAGUUAGUGUGAACAACAUAGAUGCCGAAUAUCAAUAGGCAUUUUAGGCUUAUAAAUAGCUUACUUGUUUAUUGUAAAAGGUUACAGAAUUUGAUCAAUUAAACUUAAUAGAACUUUUGUUCUUGUGAGGUUACCUCCUCUCUUCUUUCGUUCGAGUCUCGAAGCGACUUAUCUAGCUUGCUAGUAGUGUCAAUCCGAACUCCAUUGAACUUAUCACCGAAUCGGUGUGGCGUUCAACCAUCUUCCUAUACCUUUGGUUCUUACCUCCAUAUAGGUAACGGGUCAAGGUCCGCUUCUAUCCUUCAUCAAAAUUCACCUUAAGCAAUAUAAGACUCGGGGCAAUACUUUUUAGUAUUGAAUCAUUCUUAAAGUUUGAGUUCUUUAUCCAUUUCCAUUUAUUUAUCAUCUUUGUAACUUAAUUCUUUGUUAAACCGAACCUAUCUUUCAUCAAACCAAAACCCAUCCUUUGAACCCAUUUUGCCUACCUUCCGCUUAUAAAACAUUCAAACUCCAUCUAUCUACAAAUUUGAACGAGCUUCUCGUCGAUGAUCGGGCAUCUUAAGUGAACCCGACUCAAUUAAUCGGGCCGGAUCACAUCAUUUGGUAUUAGAGCUAUUAAAACGAGGAGUACCGAUGUUCGUAUCAAGCUUGGAAUAGGUUCGUAACGUAAAAAAAAGUAAAAAAAAAUCAAAAAAAUUGAGUUGGAAUUUAAUUUUUUUUCUCUUCCUUGUAUUUUGUUUACUAUUGUAUUGGAUUGAAAAAAAAAGAGAAGAAAUUCAGAAAAAAAAUUUCAAAAAAAAAGGAAAAAAAAAGAAGUGACAAAAAAUCGAGUUAAAAAAAAGAAAGAAAAAAAAGUGAAAAGUCUUGCGAGUUUUUAUCAUUAUCACUUAUUACUCCGAUCAUCAAGUUUCCCUUCCUACCAUUAUUUACCCAUCCCAACGCCACACUUUAAACCAAUUUUCUUCUUUAUUCAGCCUACCCUACACCCGACAUUAUCCCUUGUAACCAAUUUGAAACCGACCCUCAAGCAGCAAAUUAAGUCUACCGAGACAAAUCACGAAAUUGUGAGAAGAGGUUGAGUGGAAAAAGGCACGAGUGAAAUUACAUCAAAGAAAAAGCCAAAAUUUGAAUGUAAACACGAGUGCGAGUGAAAAUCAUUAUUUCCUUUUCGAGCGAAUUUGUGAGGUUUGUGGUAAGGUAUUUAUUUUCUUUAUUAUUUUUUUCUAACAUCUUCUUGUCAUUACUUAAUCAUGUCUCGAGAAACAUUUCCCGAAUCAGAAUUCCAAUAUUUGAUGCAAGAGAUGCGUAGAAUGGUGAAAUCAAAAUUUGAUAAAUUGCAUGAUCGAUUGGAUCAAGUGGAGGAAAGAGCCCGAUGGAAGCCAAACUCACCGGGUGAAGAGAUGGAGACAAGAUCAUCACGAAGGCACACAUCCAUUGAUUUUUUGGGAAGAGAUUCAUACCAUGAUUCCUAUUCAACGAGGAACUCAAGACGAAGCAAAGCAAGUUUUGAGUUUAAAGCUUUCCGAGGUGACGAACGAGAAAUCACAAGUAGUCCUUCGUAUGCACCGAGGUAUUCAUCCGCCAAGAAUCAAUCUCGAAGAGGUGAUCAUUUUUUGUAUGAAAGUCGUUCCAAUUAUACCCAACGAGAGUCAUUUCGUGCUGAUUCAUUUGUAACAUCUCCAUCCUAUAAUGAAAGAGCGAGGCAAAAAGAAAAAGAAAUAAGAAGAAAGGAAAGACAAGAAAUGUUGAUGAGAGAAAAUGAGCAUAUAUGGAAUGAAAUCGAGAGACGAAAAAAAGAAAUGAAAGAAAAGGAACAAGAAAUUGAAAAAGAGAGUGAGAUUGAAGAAAUAAACGAGAGUGUAAAAGAAACGAGUGUCAUGGAAAAAGAAAUUGAGAUUGAAAAAGGAUGUGAAAAAGAGAAAGAAAUCGAAAAAGAAAUUGAGAUUGAAAAAAAAUGUGAGGAAAAAGAGAAAAUUGAAAAAGAAAGAAAAGACAAUGAGUUAGAAAAACAAACGAGAGAAAAGGAGGCAAAAGAGCAAGAAAAAGUGAGGAAUCUGUUUACUAAACCACAUGAGAAUUUGUCUUGUUUUGUUUCCUCAUUUCAGGUCUCCGGAAGGCCAAGUGACGAUAAUUUUCAACUCCAAUACCUCUCGAAGGAGAGAAGGUUCAUUUUGGCUGAAAAAGGUAAUGUUCUCAACGAUCCUAGUUCGCCUAUGCCAAAAGGUAAGCAAGGUAUGAAUGUUGAAAAUUUUAAAGCACUUCUACCUUACUCGAUUGUUGAUGGACACACUGUUGAUGAUUUGGUCUUUAGAAAGAAUCUGAACUUUGACGUGGCUAUUUGUCAUUCUUUGAUUGAUGAUGAUCCAUUUUUUUUGUCUAAUGAUAAGAAGAUUCUUGCUUUUGAAAAAUAUCAUUUUGAUGGUAUUGGUUGUUUAUCUUUAACUUGCAAUGGAAUGCAUGUUUUGGAUGCGCAAGAUGAAAGUCCAUAUAAAAUGUUCAUUCUCACUGAUCAUGUUGAAAAGGAAUGGAAAUGUAUUGAUGAAUACGCCAUUGGCAAGAUUUUUGAUGAAGAGCGAAUAAAUCAGCACCAACAAAAUCUGGAAUUGUGUGAUCAAAAGUUGACAUAUCAUCUGCUUGGUUGUGUUGAUCAUGUGGAUUAUCUAAUUUUUGGUGUGAAAUUUCCAUGUUUUUGUAAAUCUUUUCGAAUGAAAUUUAAAGGGUUUGCUUGUUUGAAUUUGAGUAUGUUAACACCCUCGUUGUUUAAUUUGUGUAAAUCGUUGGAGAUAAAAGGACUCUUUUUGCCAUUUGGAUCGAGUAGUCAAAAUCAUGUCUUUAAUCCUGGAGUUUGCUAUUAUGAAUCAUCCAUGAAAGAAAGCAAGCAUCGUAAAAUUUGUUUGAAUGAAUGUGUAAACAAUCUUUGUUUGUAUGAUACUUUGUCUUUAAGUUUGAAAAUGAGCCAUGUGAAUCUUGUUGGUUUGUUAAGUCAAAAUCAAAAUUUUGUUUUCGGAGGAUGUUCUCAACUGUGGACUAAAAGAUCCGAACAUGUUUUGAAUGAUAAUGAUUUUGAGUUGCUUAGUGCUCUUUCUAUGAAGUCGGUCAUGAAAUUGCCAAAUCAAAUUGAAAUGGCAAGAGAAAAUUUUGUCUUUGACCCCGGUGAACACCAUUCUAUAUCAUUGCCUAAGGUAAUCGAACCAUGGAAAGUUGACUUCCAAAACCAUAGCUAUCAAAUGCCUUGUGAUUUAUGUUUGUUUCCAUCGAAGAAAAAGGUAAGAACGAUUUCUAUUUUCGACCCCGGUUUUGGAUUAUUUGUUCAAACUGUGAAUCAAAUCUCAAAAAGUCCCUUUGUGUUUAAUCUUCAUCGUGUCACUAAUUCGUUUUAUUCUUUUAAAGGUGACAACGUGAAGUGGUACCCUCCUAAAGAGGGAGGGCAUGUGAAUGAGCUUCUUUUGAUCCGAGUUAAUUGUGGCUUUCAGAAUCUUCAACGAUUUUUCGCGAGUAAAUGGCCCGAUUUGGGGACAAAUCGCUUUAAAGAGGGAGGGGAUGAACACUUUUGGAUCAGCUCCCUAAGCAUUGUUUGCAAAUCCAUUCGAGCUGAAUUAGUUCAAUUUCAUUUCGUUAAGCUCCGUUUAGCUUGUUUCCAGCUCACUCGAGCUCAAGUCAACUCACUCAAGCUCAAUUCAGCUCAAUCUUAACCCAAUGAGCUUAUUUUUAGCUUUCUUUAGCUUGCAUUUAUUUUGCUGAAAUAAACCAUUUAAUUUGUCAUUAGUUAAAUUAGUUGUUUAUCUUAAGUUAGUUAAUUUGUUAAAAUCUGGACAAAUAAUUAAUUAAGUGUUUUAAUUAUAUCUAAAUUAAAUACUUAAUUAAUUAUGAUGUUUUAAAUAUGUCUAAAAUUGUUAAUAUGUAUGGCCAAAUUUAAUGUGCAAAUUAUUGAGUUCAUAUGCUGCUAAUUUAAUGUGUUUGAAAUGCAUUUAACUUGCUGAUUUAAUUUGCUGUAGGUUCAUGAACGGAUUGGUGCAAUGUAUGGGAGUGUGCAUGCACAAUUGAGGUUCAAUGGAUGGCAUUUAAAGGAGCACAUGCAUUUGGGACGUUCAUGCAAGAGGGAGUUGCUGAAAGUUCAUGUAUUUGAAGAUUCAUGGAUCAUAUUUAUGGGGGAAAAUACAUGGGACGUUUCAUGCAUGAUUCAUGCAUUUUCAAGAUGACCAUUCAAGUAUUUUAGGCACAUUAAUGCCUCAUUCAGCCAAGGGAGAUGUAGGAUCAUUAAAGAGCUGCACAUUCAUGGAAUUAUGGAGAUUCUUCAAGGCUAAGGUUGCAUGAAUGCAUCAAGUGAAGCAUCAUGAUGGUUCGGCCAAUUCAUGUACCAUCUUCAAGCAUGAACUGGAUUUUAAUGCUAUUUGUGUGAACAUGUUAAAUACCUGUGUGAACAGAAUUUAAGUUAGUGUGAACAACAUAGAUGCCGAAUAUCAAUAGGCAUUUUAGGCUUAUAAAUAGCUUACUUGUUUAUUGUAAAAGGUUACAGAAUUUGAUCAAUUAAACUUAAUAGAACUUUUGUUCUUGUGAGGUUACCUCCUCUCUUCUUUCGUUCGAGUCUCGAAGCGACUUAUCUAGCCUGCUAGUGGUGUCAAUCCGAACUCCAUUGAACUUAUCACCGAAUCGGUGUGGCGUUCAACCAUCUUCCUAUACCUUUGGUUCUUACCUCCAUAUAGGUAACGGGUCAAGGUCCGCUUCUAUCCUUCAUCAAAAUUCACCUUAAGCAAUAUAAGACUCGGGGCAAUACUUUUUAGUAUUGAAUCAUUCUUAAAGUUUGAGUUCUUUAUCCAUUUCCAUUUAUUUAUCAUCUUUGUAACUUAAUUCUUUUUUAAACCGAACCUAUCUUUCAUCAAACCAAAACCCAUCCUUUGAACCCAUUUUGCCUACCUUCCGCUUAUAAAACAUUCAAACUCCAUCUAUCUACAAAUUUGAACGAGCUUCUCGUCGACGAUCGGGUAUCUUAAGUGAACCCGACUCAAUUAAUCGGGCCGGAUCCCAUCACCAUGCCUAUUAAUAGGCCUUCAAUCUAUUUCCUAAUCUCAUUAGGAAAACUAAAAAAAACCUAAUUAAUUAAAAUAAGAGGGAAAUUCGGCCAAGGCAUUUUUAAUGGGCUGCUUGGGCCAAAUUUUGACAAAUAAAAUUCUUAAAGUCUAAAAAUUAAAAUAGAUAUUCAAAUAAUUAAAAUUGUUACAAAUUGGGCCACUUUAACAAUUUUGCCUUAUUUUCAACUAAGUAUCGUUUGACUUCUUGAUUGGGCUUGGAAUCGUCUUAAUGGGCCUCGCCUUCAAGAACUUGGGCUUGUAGUCCAUCUCCUCCUAAAAUUGGUUUGUUGAUGCUCGUAACGGAGAUCCAAUGUGCUUUGGCUGCAAGAUUCGGUUUCUUGGACCAAGAUUUCAAAGAUUUGAAAUCUUUAUUUUCUUGAUUCUUGAAAUCGCUCCAAACAGCAAAAUUGGGCCAAGAUUAGGUUUCUUGAUUUUCUUGAAAACAAGAAAGUGAAUCUUGAUUUUCUCUUUCUUUCGUGUAUGCAUCUAAGGCCUUGCUAACAAAUUCCUAAAUGGUCCCAUUUAGUUUGGAACGCAUUUAUCUGGCCUUUGACCUCGUUAUUGGGCCUUGUUUUAAUUUGAGCCCAUCACGUUCUUAAGCUUAGGUUGGGCCUUUGUGACUCGUAUCAUUCCCCCUUCCUCAAAAAGAUUUGACCUUGAAUCUGAAAAAUCAAAUGGGGACAAGUCAGCCACAUUAAAAGUAGAACUUACAUUGUACUCACCAGGUAGAUCAAUUUUAUAAGCAUUGUCGUUGAUCCGCUCGAGUACUUGGAAAGGCCCAUCGCCCCUUGGGUCCAACUUGGACUUUCUUUUUGUAGGAAAUCGUUCUUUCCUCAUAUGGACCCAAACCCAAUCUCCGGGUUAUAGGAUAACCCAUUUGCGCCCCUUGUUUGCUUUGUUGGCGUUGGCAUCAUUUGUUUUGGCUAUUCGUUGCCUAGCCUUCUCAUGUAAGGAUUUCACAAACUCAGCUUUCUGUUCGCCAUCUAGAUUAACAAUUGUUCAAGUGGUAAUGGCGCAAGAUCAAGUACUGUUAGUGGGUUAAAGCCAUAAACAAGUUCAAAUGGAGAAUAACCAGUUGUAGAAUGAAUAGAUCUAUUAUAUGCAAAUUCAACAAAUGGUAGGCAUUCUUCCCAAUUUCUAAUUUUCUUUCCCACAACAGAUCGUAAUAAUGUCCCUAAGAUUCGAUUAACUACUUCAAUUUGGCCAUCAGUUCGGGGGUGACAUGUAGUGGAAUAAAGUAAUUUCGUACCAAGCUUGCCCCACAAUACCUUCCAAAAGUGGCUAAGGAAUUUGACAUCUCUAUCAGAAACAAUUGUUUUAGGGAUGCCAUUAAGUCUUACCACCUCUUUAAAGAAUAAGUGUGCCACAUGUGUAGCAUCAUCUGUUUUGUGACAAGGAAUAAAAUGUGCCAUCUUUGAAAAAUUGUCAACAACAACAAAUAUACUAUAUCUUCCUUUCUUAGUUCGAGGCAAACCUAGAAUAAAAUCCAUGGAUAAAUCUACCCAAGGUGAAGUAGGAAUCGGUAAAGGAGUGUAAAGGCCAUGAGGCAUUACCUUAGAUUUUGCUUGUUUACAUGUAAUGCACUUGGAACAUACCUUUUCGAUGUCCUUCUUCAUAUGUGGCCAAUGGAAGUGUUCUUGCAAGAUGUUUACUAUUUUGGAACUCCAAAAUGUCCCAUUAAACCCCCACCAUGGGCCUCAAGAAUCAGUAAGUCUCUCAUGGAACACUUUGGUAUGCAUAACCUGUUUAUACGAAAAAGAAAGCCAUCUACAAGAUAAAACUUUUCAAAAGUAGUAUGUCCACAAUUCUUAUAGAUGUGGCUGAAAUCAGCAUCAUCAUCAUAUAACUCCUUAAUGUGUUCAAACCCUAAGACUUUAGCAUUCAAUGUAGUUAUUAAAGUAUAUCGUCUAGACAAAGCAUCUGCAACUACAUUAUCUUUACCUGUUUUAUAUUUUAUCACAUAAGGGAAUGUUUCAAUGAAUUCUACCCAUCGGGCAUGUCGUUUACUCAACUUACCUUGUCCCUUUAACCAUUUAAGGGAUUCAUGAUCUGUGUGUAUGACAAAACUCAUUAGGCAGCAAAUAAUGUUGCCAUACUUGAAGUGCACGAACCAAUGCCAAUAGUUCUUUGUCAUAAGUUGAGUAGUUUAAUUGUGUACCGUUCAAUUUCUCACUAAAAUAAGCAAUUGGUUACUUAUCUUGCAUUAAAACAGCGCCAAUUCCAAUUCCUGAAGCAUCACACUCAAGUUCAAAAGUAUUAGUAAAAUCAGGUAAUUUAAGAAGAGGAGCAAAACAUAACUUAGCUUUUAGGGUCUGAAAAGCCUUUUCUUGGGUUUCACCCCAUUUGAAACCCACAGAUUUCUUUAUAACCUCUGUUAAUGGGGCAGCAAUAGUAGAGAAAUCUUUCACAAAUCUUAUAUAAAAACUAGCUAAACCAUGGAAAGUUCUCACCUCAGUUACCGAUUUAGGAGUCAGCCACUCCUUGAUUGCCUUGACUUUGUCCUCAUCGACAUGAAUACCUUGAGCACUAACUAUGAAACCUAAGAAUAUUAGCUUAUCACAACAGAAUGUGCAUUUAUCAAGGUUGGCAAAUAAUUUUUCAGAUCUCAGAAUAUCCAAAACAGUUCUAACAUGGAAAACAUGAUCAUCUAAGGUCUUGGAGUAAAUUAAAAUAUCAUCAAAGUGAACUACUACAAAGUUACCCAAGUGAAGCCUUAAAACGUGAUUCAUUAAUCUCAUAAAUGUACUAGGUCCAUUAGUAAGGCCAAAAGGCAUAACUAACCAUUCAUGCAGUCCAAAUUUUGUUUUAAAGGCUGUUUUCCAUUCACCCCCUUCCCUCAUUCGAAUUUGAUGAUAACCGUUUUUUAAAUCAAUUUUAGUAAAUAUGAUUGAGCCAUGUAAUUCAUCAAGCAUAUCAUCAAGUCUAGGAAUUGGAUGUCGAUAUUUUACCGUUAUUUUGUUGAUUGGGCGGCAAUCAACACACAUUCAAUGCGUACCAUCUUUCUUUGGUACCAAUAAGACAGGACGGCAUAAGGGCUUAGGCUCUCACGAAUGUACCCUUUGUCCAGUAAUUCCUCAACUUGCCUUUGCAAUUCCUUUGUCUCCUCGGGAUUGCAUCUAUAGGUUGGUUGAUUUGGUAUUGAAGUUCCAGGUACUAAGUCAAUUUGAUGUUCUAUCCCUCGUAAAGGUGGUAAACCUUUAGGGGCCUCGCUAAAAACAUCCUCAUAAUCCUGUAAAAGAGAUUGAAACACACUAGGCAAAUUUUCGUUAAUGUUAGAUAAAGAUAAAUAAUUUUGCCUAAACCUCACAAGGAUACAAGGCUAUUUAUUGAGUAUGGCUCUCCUCACUUCUUUUUUUGUUGCCAAAAUUUUUUUUCUCUCAUUUUACCACUUGUGGAUUCACUCACCUUUGGGCUUUUUAAAUUAACUUUUUCCACUAUUAGCCUCUUUUCUCUCUGUCUUUUGCACUUGUCCUUUCUCCCUUACCCCUCACAAAAUUUCAUCAUCUUCAAUUGAUCUUUAUAUACAUCAGUGGGAUCUAAAGGAGCAAAAGUGAAUUUUCUACCUUUAAACACAAGGGAGUAUCGAUUAAGCUUACCUUGGUGUGUCACAUCGCGAUCAAAUUGCCAAGGUCGUCCAAGGAGCAAGUGUGCCGCAUGCAUUGGGACCACAUCACACCAUACUUCAUCGUAAUAAUUCCCGAGCUUAAAAGUGACCAAGGACUAUUUCAUAACUUUAACUUGGAGCAUUCAUUAAGCCACUGAAGGUGAUAUGACUUAGGGUGUUUGGUACAAGGCAACUUUAAAGAAUUCUCCAAAUAGCUACUCACUACAUUCGAGCAACCCCCACUAUCAAUAAUGAGUGAACAUAAGUUACCUUUAAUAAAACACCAAGAAUGGAAAAUAUUGGUCCUUUGGUUAUCAUCAUCUUUCAUCUGAAUGUUAAGGGUUCGGCGAACUACAAGGCAUUGAAAAUCAGCAAAGUCCCCUUCUUUUGGUGGUUCAACCAACUCUUCGCCAUUAUCACUGUCAUCCACAAGUUCUGGCAUAUCUGGAUCUGUUUUAUCAGAGUCAGAAGUGUAUUCACCAUUAUCUUUCAGAAAAAGUAAUCUCAUGUUAGGGCAUUCCUUACUAUAAUGACCACGCCCUUUGUACUUAAAGCAUUCGAUCUCACGAGUCCUCUUCACACUCGAAUCACCUAAAUUGGGCUGCUUAAAAGGUGUUUGCAUUUUAACAGGAGCCCCUUUUUUCCAAUCUGAUUGCUUACUUCCAUUACUCAAAGAAGACUUAUUAGUAACAAAAGGGGAUUUUGAACUUUUAAAAUCAGAAUUGGAAUUGUUACCUCGAUAAUAUUGUGAAGUAGAGAAGGAACCAAACCUUUGUUCCUUUAAUUGUUGCUCGAUCUCAAUGGCUUUGUGAACUACUUUUUCCAAAUCAAUGUAAGUUUGUAGCCUCAAUGUAUUAGCUAUCGGCUUGUUCAAACCAUCAAUAAAUCGAACCAUAGUUGUUUCCUCAUCCUCGUCCACAAUAGCUCUCUGAAUGAGCAUUUCCAUCUUAAAAUAUUCAUCCACCGUCCUACUACCUUGAACAAGUCUUCUAAGCUUUGUUUUAAUCUCUCUAUAAUAGUGAGGUGGAAAUAAAUCUUUUAUGCAUAAUCUAUUUCAACUCAUCCCAUGUCAAAAUCUCACCUUUAUAAUUUCGAUGAUGAUUUACCCCAAGUUGAGUCCACCAACUGAAUGCAUAAUCUAAAAAUUCCAGCGUUGCUAACGCUACCUUUUCAUCAUCUGGACAUUUAUAAUAUCAAAACAUAAGUUCAAUCUUAGAUUCCCAUUCACAAUAAGCUUCUGAAUCAUUCUUACCAUGAAAUUGGGGAAUUGUGAACUUCGAUUUUGCCCACGAUCAUGAAAAUCAGAGCCAGUUCUAGGGACACGUCGAGGACCGCGCCGACGAUCAGGAGGCUGGUUAUCCAUAUCUUCUUUAAUUGGAUCGCGAUAUUGAGGUUCUUGAUUUAAUCGUACCUCAUUUAAAGCAGCACUUAAAGUUCUGAGUAAGGCAGCCUGUUCGUCUAACUGUUGUUGGAAUUUUGUAAAUGUGUCGUAGACAUCAUUAUGAUCAUUAUCACCUUGACCAACCUCAGACAUUUUCAAAAACCUGUAAAAUAAACACUCAACACUCAAAAAGAAAAGUUAGCAAACCUCACCGUUAAUCACUCAAAAAGAAAAAAUCAAAUUCUCAAUGAGGUAGAAUUCAGUCUUGUGAGUUCUUUAGUAGAGUCUAUAUCAACCAAUUAGAAAGUGUACGAACCGAACUACCAAAGAAUCCUAAUUUGCACUAGGAUGCCAAAAAAUUGACGUGACACCAACUGAUUUGUGUCGCACCGAGGAAGAAUUUUGCACACUUUAAAAAUCCUACUAACACAAGAAACAAUAAGGUGUUAGAUAGUGUAAAGGGAGAAUAAAGGCAAACAAAUGAAAACCUACAGCUAAGAAUCAAUAAAAAUUGCUGAAACCAGAAAACUUGAAAAACUGCGGAGUAACUUGACAACUUCGUUUGAGGUGUUCCCGAUCUCAAAAAAUCAUGAAAUUGAAUAUGGAAUGUCCUUAAAUAUUUAAUUUUUGAUCUGGUAAUUUUGGUCACCAAACUCAACCCGCUGAAUCUUUUUUUAAAAUUUUUAUUGGAUUUUGUAUUUUUCGAUUUUUUUGACUUUUUUGACUGAAUUUUUUGCGGGAAAUAUUUUUUUAUAUUCAAUCACAAUGCCACAAAUAUGUAAGUAAAAUUUUAGAUCAAUCAGACAACGUUUACCUACUCAAAUGAAUUUUUUUCAAAAAAUUUUUCUGGGUAAAACUGCUAUUUGUAGUUUAAAAAAUAGAGAUCAGUUUAGAAAUCAACCAAGAACACCCAAAACGCCCAAAAUCUGAUACCAAAUGAUAGAGGGUUGCGCACAGACCAAGAUCGAGUUGUCAAGUCACGAGAAAAUUCCUACAACGCUCUAGACGAUCAGAUCUGAAACGAAAUAGAGAAUUGAAGUUAGAUUCGAUUAGAUCUGAAAUAAAAACUAUCAAUGAACAGCAAGAAUCAAAAACACCCUUAUAGAUGGCUAUUCUUGGAAACCAAGAAUCGAUUUGAAAUUAGGAAUUAAAACGGUUCUUGAAACCCAAGGAGAUGUUGAUUUGCCCAAAUCGAAACAGCAACUAAUUUUUUCCCAAAAAUUCCAGCAACCGAAUCAAUCAGAUUUGAAAAAAAGAAAUUGGCAAGAACAAUAAAUUUUAGGGAUCUUGAACGAUCUUUGCUACGAAUAACAAGGGGGGCAAUCCGAUCUUUAACGAAGAAGGGGGCGAAUCAGAUCUUGGAUGUUUUGGAAAGUCUGAAAUGCAACAAGAACAACAAACAAAUUAAUUACAUAAAAAUCGACGCAAAUAGGUUUUAAAAAGAAAGAAUGAUAGCAAGAAAUAAAUAUAAGUCCUAAGAAGCCUUGAAAUUGAGAAAGAUUUCACAACUCCCUUCAAACGGCUCUAAUCUCCCCACCAAUGAAGAACAAUGGCAAGAAGAAGGCUGAAGAUGGCUCCCACAAUAAAAAAGAUUGUUAAAACUACUUCUAAAGAAAACUCAAGAGAGAAUUCUUGGAGAAAACUCAAGAGAGAAUUCUUGGAGAAAACUCAAAGAGAAUUUCUACUCAGAAAAAUCUAAAAUUUUUAAUGUAAAGUAAUGUGUUUAUAAGGGUGGCCGGCCAUGCCUAUUAAUAGGCCUUCAAUCUAUUUCCUAAUCUCAUUAGGAAAAUUAAAAAAAUCUAAUUAAUUAAAAUAAGAGGGAAAUUCGGCCAAGGCAUUUUUAAUGGGCUGCUUGGGCUGAAUUUUGUCAAAUAAAAUUCUUAAAGUCUAAAAAUUAAACUAGAUAUUCAAAUAAUUAAAAUUAUUACAAAUUGGGCCACUUUAACAAUUUGGUCUGAUUUUCAACUAAGUAUGGUUUGACUUCUUGAUUAAGCUUGGAAUUGUCUUAAUGGGCCUCGCUUUCAAGAACUUGGGCUUGUAGUCUAUCUCCUCCCGAAAUUGGUUCCUUGAUGCUCGUAACGGAGAUCCAAUGUGCUUUGGCUGCAAGAUUCAGUUUCUUGGACCAAGAUUUUGAUACGAGUCUCAAAGGCCCAACCCAAGAACGUGAUGGGCUCAAACUACCACAAGGCCCAAUAACGAGAUCAAAGGCCCGAAAAAUGCGUUCCAAACUAAAUGAGACCAUUCAAGAAUUUAUUAGCAAGGCCUUAGAUGCGUACACAAAAGAAAAAAAAUCAAGAUUCACUUUCUUGUUUUCAAGAAAAUCAAGAAACUGAAUCUUGGCCCAAUUUUGCUGUUUGGAGCGAUUUCAAGAAUCCAGAAAUUCAAGAUUUCAAAUCUUGGAAAUCUUUGUCCAAGAAACCGAAUCUUGCAACCAAGGCGCAUUGGAUCUCCGUUACGAGCAUCAACGACCCAAAUUUGGUAGGAGAUGGAUCACAAGCCCAAAUUCUUGAAGGCGAGGCCCAAUAAGCAAAUUCCAGCCCAAUCAAGACUUUCAUAUAUACUUAGUUGAAAAUCAGGCCAAAAUGUCAAAGGGCUCAAUUUAUAAACAUUUUAAUUGUUAAUUUAAAUUUUUUAGGCUCUAGGAAUAUGAAGUGUUAAAUUCGGCCCAAACAGCCCAUGUAUUUGGCCGAAAUUCUCUUAUUGUUUUUAUUAAUUAGGUUUAAAUUUUAAGUUUCCUAAUGAGAUUAGGAUUAGUUGGAGGCCUAUAUGAUGCGAACCAGCCUCGGUUUAAUGAGUUGAAUCGCUUUUGUUGCCUGAUCGUCCAAACGAUGAAGUUUCGUUCUUCUUGAGUCAAUUCGUUCUACUUGAUCAAUGAAGUUAUUUGAGGUUCAAUUGAGAUUAAAGAAAGUGAUUUGCAAGGUAUUUUGGCUAAGAAAGAAAUAAUGAAUUUGGAUAGGUGAUGAUUCGGUUUUAAAGGUAUAUGGAAUGAUUGGCUUAAAAACAAGAAAGAACCAACACUAAAUGUAGUUGAGUGUUAACCCGUUUCCUAUAUGCUUUUAAGAUGGUUCGGUAGUGAAAUAGAUAGAAUUAACCUCGACCCGCUACCUAUUGAAGAUAGGAACCUCGGUAUAGUUGAAUGCCACACUUUGGUUGAAAGUGAUAAGUUCGGGUUGCAAAGAACAAAGGUUGACGCCACUAACUAGUAGAUAAGCCAACUAAGUCUUUGGACUAAAUUGAGAGAAGAAUUCCUCACAAAAUACUUAAUUCAAUAAUCAAAAUGGACAAAGUCCUUUUACAAAUAAACAAUCAAAUAUUUAUAGUUCUUCAAAGGCUAGCCGAAUAGACAAACUUAAAAGCUAAGAAAAAUCAAGAAAAUUCCAGAAUUAAUUCCUCAAGAAGAUUCGGCUAAAUAGGCAUUCAAAUGGACAGCUUAAGCAUGAAGAAAAUGCACCUUGCAAAGAUGAUUCAAUACUAAAAAGUAUUGCCCCGAGUCUUAUAUUGCUUAAGGUGAAUUUUGAUGAAGGAUAGAAGCGGACCUUGACCCGUUACCUAUAUGGAGGUAAGAACCAAAGGUUUAGGAAGAUGGUUGAACGCCACACCGAUUCGGUGAUAAGUUCAAUGGAGUUUGGAUUGACACCACUAGCAAGCUAGAUAAGUCGCUUCGAGACUCGAACGAAAGAAGAGAGGAGGUAACCUCACAAGAACAAAAGUUCUAUUAAGUUUAAUUGAUCAAAUUCUGUAACCUUUUACAAUAAACAAGUAAGCUAUUUAUAAGCCUAAAAUGCCUAUUGAUAUUCGGCAUCUAUGUUGUUCACACAGGUAUUUAACAUGUUCACACAAAUAGCAUUAAAAUUCAUUUCAUGCUUGAAGAUGGUACAUGAAUUGGCCGAACCAUCAUGAUGCUUCACUUGAUGCAUUCAUGCAUCCUUAGCCUUGAAGAAUCUUCAUAAUUCCAUGAAUGUGCAGCUCUUUAAUGAUCCUACAUCUCCCUUGGCUGAAUGAGGCAUUAAUGUGCCUAAAAUACUUGAAUGGUCAUCUUGAAAAUGCAUGAAUCAUGCAUGAAACGUCCCAUGUAUUUUCCCCCAUAAAUAUGAUCCAUGAAUCUUCAAAUACAUGAACUUUCAGCAACUCCCUCUUGCAUGAACGUCCCAAAUGCAUGUGCUCCUUUAAAUGCCAUCCAUUGAACCUCAAUUGUGCAUGCGCACUCCCAUACAUUGCACCAAUCCGUUCAUGAACCUGCAGCAAAUUAAAUCAGCAAGUUAAAUGCAUUUCAAACACAUUAAAUUAGCAGCAUAUGAACUCAAUAAUUUGCACAUUAAAUUUGGCCAUACAUAUUAACAAUUUCAGACAUAUUUAAAACAUCAUAAUUAAUAAAGUAUUUAAGUUAGAUAUAAUUAAAACACUUAAUUAAUUAUUUGUCCAGAUUUAACAAAUUAAUUAACUUAAAAUAAACAACUAAUUCAACUAAAGACAAAUUAAAUGGUUUAUUUCAGGAAAAUAAAAGAAAGCUAAAAAUAAGCUCAUUGGGUUAAGAUUGAGCUGAAUUGAGCUUGAAUGAGUUGACUUGAGCUCGAGUGAGCUGGAAACGAGCUAAACGGAGCUUAACGAAAUGAAAUUGAACUAAUUCAGCUCGCAUGGAUUUGCAAACAAUGCUUAGGGAGCUGAUCCAAAAGUGUGCCCGGGGCAUGGUCGUAUCAUCCCCUCCCUCUUUAAAGCGAUUUGUCCCCAAAUUAGGCCAUUUACUCGCGAAAAAUCGUUGAAGAUUCUGAAAGCCACAAUUAACUCGGAUCAAAAGAAGCUCAUUUGCAUGCCCUCCCUCUUUAGGAGAGUACCACUUCACAUUGUCACCUUUAAAAGAAUAAAAAGAAUUAGUGACACGAUGAAGAUUAAACACAAAGGGACUUUUUGAGAUUUGAUUCACAGUUUGAACAAAUAAUCCAAUACCGGGGUCAAAAACAGAAAUCGUUCUUACCUUUUUCUUCGAUGGAAACAAACAUAAAUCACAAGGCAUUUGAUAGCUAUGGUUUUGGAAGUCAACUUUCCAUGGUUCGAUUACCUUAGGCAAUGAUAUAGAAUGGUGUUCACCAGGGUCAAAGACAAAAUUUUCUCUUGCCAUUUCAAUUUGAUUUGGCAAUUUCAUGACCGACUUCAUAGAAAGAGCACUAAGCAACUCAAAAUCAUUAUCAUUCAAAACAUGUUCGGAUCUUUUAGUCCACAGUUGAGAACAUCCUCCGAAAACAAAAUUUUGAUUUUGACUUAACAAACCAACAAGAUUCACAUGGCUCAUUUUCAAACUUAAAGACAAAGUAUCAUACAAACAAAGAUUGUUUACACAUUCAUUCAAACAAAAUUUACGAUGCUUGCUUUCUUUCAUGGAUGAUUCAUAAUAGCAAACUCCAGGAUUAAAGACAUGAUUUUGACUACUCGAUCCAAAUGGCAAAAAGAGUCCUUUUAUCUCCUACAAUUUACACAAAUUAAACAACGAGGGUGUUAGCAUACUCAAAUUCAAACAAGCAAACCCUUUAAAUUUCAUUCGAAAAGAUUUACAAAAACAUGGAAAUUUCACACCAAAAAUUAGAUAAUCCACAUGAUCAACACAACCAAGCAGAUGAUAUGUCAACUUUUGAUCACACAAUUCCAGAUUUUGUUGGUGCUGAUUUAUUCGCUCUUCAUCAAAAAUCUUGCCAAUGGCGUAUUCAUCAAUAUAUUUCCAUUCCUUUUCAACAUGAUCAGUGAGAAUGAACAUUUUAUAUGGACUUUCAUCUUGCGGAUCCAAAACGUGUAUUCCAUUGCAAGUUAAAGACAAACAACUAAUAUCAUCAAGAAAAUAAUAUUUUUCAAAAGCAAGAAUCUUUUUAUCAUCAGACAAAACAAAUGGGUCAUCAUCAAUCAAAGAAUGACAAGUAGCCACUUCAAAGUUUAGAUUCUUUCUAAAGACCAAAUCAUCAACAGUGUGUCCAUCAACAAUCGAGUAAGGCAGAAGUGCUUUAAAAUUUUUAACAUUCAUACCUUGCUUACCUUUUGGCAUAGGCGAACUAGGAUCGUUGAGAACAUUACCUUUUUCAGCCGAAGUGAACCUUCUCUCCUUCGAGAGGUAUUGGAGUUGAAAAUUAUCGUCACUUGGCCUUCCGGAGACCUGAAAGGAGGAAACAUAACAAGACAAAUUCUCAUGUGGUUUAGUAAACAAAUUCCUCACUUUUUCUUGCUCUUUUGCCUCCUUUUUCUCUCGUUUGUUUUUCUAACUCAUUGUCUUUUCUUUCUUUUUCAAUUUUCUCUUUUUCCUCACACUUUUGUUCAAUCUCAAUUUCUUUUUCGAUUUCUUUCUCUUUUUCACAUCCUUUUUCAAUCUCAAUUUCUUUUUCCAUGACACUCGUUUCUUUUACACUCUCGUUUCUUUCUUCAAUCUCACUCUCUUUUUCAAUUUCUUGUUCUUUUUCUUUUAUUUCUUUUUUUUGUCUCUCGAUUUCAUUCCAUAUAUGCUCAUUUUCUCUCAUCAACAUUUCUUGUCUUUCCUUUCUUCUUAUUUCUUUUUCUUUUUGCCUCGCUCUUUCACUAUAGGAUGGAGAUGUUACAAAUGAAUCAGCACGAAAUGACUCUCGUUGGGUAUAAUUGGAACGACUUUCAUACAAAAAAUGAUCACCUCUUCGAGAUUGAUUCUUGGCGGAUGAAUACCUCGGUGCAUACGAAGGACUACUUGUGAUUUCUCGUUCGUCACCUCAGAAAGCUUCAAACUCAAAACUUGCUUUGCUUCGUCUUGAGUUCCUCGUUGAAUAGGAAUCAUGGUAUGAAUCUCUUCCCAAAAAUCAAUGGAUGUGUGCCUUCGUGAUGAUCUUGUCUCCGUCUCUUCACCCGGUGAGUUUGGCUUCCAUCGGGCUCUUUCCUCCACUCGAUCCAAUCGAUCAUGCAAUUUAUCAAAUUUUGAUUUCAGCAUUCUACGCAUCUCUUGCAUCAAAUAUUGGAAUUCUGAUUCGGGAAAUGUUUCUCGAGACAUGAUUAAGUAAUGACAAGAAGAUGUUAGAAAAAAAUAAUAAAGAAAAUAAAUACCUUACCACAAACCUCACAAAUUCGCUCAAAAAGGAAAUAAUGAUUUUCACUCGCACUCGUGUUUACAUUCAAUUUUUGGAUUUUUCUUUGAUGUAAUUUCACUCAUGCCUUUUUCCACUCAACCUCUUCUCACAAUUUCGUGAUUUGUCUCGGUAGACUUAAUUUGCUGCUUGAGGGUCGGUUUCGAAUUGGUUUACAAAGGAAAUAACGUCAGGUGUAGGGUAGGCUAAACAAAGAACAAAUUUUGUUUAAAGUGUGGCGUUGGGAUGGGUAAAUAAUGGUAGGAAGGGAAACUUGAUGAUCGGAGUAAAUAAGAUAAGAAAAUAAAAACUCGCAAGACUUUUCACUUUUUUUUAACUUGAUUUUUUUUUGCUCACCUUUUUUUCUUUUUUUUUUCUCGAUUUUUUUUCACUUUUUUUUGAAUUUUUUUUCAAUCAAUUUUUUUUGAUUUUUUUUAAUUUCCUCUUCUUUUUUUUUAUUUUUUUGUUCAAUUACAAUAUGCUAAAAUACAAAGGGAAGAGAAAAGAGAAAAAAAAAUUACAACCUGAAUUUUUUUUAUUUUUCUUUCACGUUACGAACCUACUCUGAGCUUGAUACGAAAGUUGGCGCUCCUCGUUUUAGUAGCUCUGAUACCAAAUGAUGUGAUCCAGCCCGAUUGGUUGAGUCGGGUUCACUUAAGAUGUCCGAUCGUCGACGAGAAGCUCAUUCAAAUUUGUAGAUAGAUGGAGUUUGAAUGUUUUAUAAGCGGAAGGUAGGCAAAAUGGGUUCAAAGGAUGGGUUUUGGUUUGAUGAAAGAUAGGUUCGGUUUAACAAAGAAUUAAGUUACAAAGAUGAUAAAUAGAUGGAAAAGGAUAAAGAACUCAAACUUUAAGAAUGAUUCCGAGUCUUAUAUUGCUUAAGGUGAAUUUUGAUGAAGGAUAGAAGCGGACCUUGACCCGUUACCUAUAUGGAGGUAAGAACCAAAGGUAUAGGAAGAUGGUUGAACGCCACACCGAUUCGGUGAUAAGUUCAAUGGAGUUCGGAUUGACACCACUAGCAAGCUAGAUAAGUCGCUUCGAGACUCGAACGAAAGAAGAGAGGAGGUAACCUCACAAGAACAAAAGUUCUAUUAAGUUUAAUUGAUCAAAUUCUGUAACCUUUUACAAUAAACAAGUAAGCUAUUUAUAAGCCUAAAAUGCCUAUUGAUAUUCGGCAUCUAUGUUGUUCACACAGGUAUUUAACAUGUUCACACAAAUAGCAUUAAAAUUCAGUUCAUGCUUGAAGAUGGUACAUGAAUUGGCCGAACCAUCAUGAUGCUUCACUUGAUGCAUUCAUGCAUCCUUAGCCCUGAAGAAUCUUCAUAAUUCCAUGAAUGUGCAGCUCUUUAAUGAUCCUACAUCUCCCUUGGCUGAAUGAGGCAUUAAUGUGCCUAAAAUACUUGAAUGGUCAUCUUGAAAAUGCAUGAAUCAUGCAUGAAACGUCCCAUGUAUUUUCCCCCAUAAAUAUGAUCCAUGAAUCUUCAAAUACAUGAACUUUCAGUAACUCCCUCUUGCAUGAACGUCCCAAAUGCAUGUGCUCCUUUAAAUACCAUCCAUUGAACCUCAAUUGUGCAUGCACACUCCCAUACAUUGCACCAAUCCGUUCAUGAACCUGCAGCAAAUUAAAUCAGCAAGUUAAAUGCAUUUCAAACACAUUAAAUUAGCAGCAUAUGAACUCAAUAAUUUGCACAUUAAAUUUGGCCAUACAUAUUAACAAUUUCAGACAUAUUUAAAACAUCAUAAUUAAUAAAGUAUUUAAGUUAGAUAUAAUUAAAACACUUAAUUAAUUAUUUGUCCAGAUUUAACAAAUUAAUUAACUUAAAAUAAACAACUAAUUCAACUAAAGACAAAUUAAAUGGUUUAUUUCAGGAAAAUAAAAGAAAGCUAAAAAUAAGCUCAUUGGGUUAAGAUUGAGCUGAAUUGAGCUUGAAUGAGUUGACUUGAGCUCGAGUGAGCUGGAAACGAGCUAAAUGGAGCUUAACGAAAUGAAAUUGAACUAAUUCAGCUCGCAUGGAUUUGCAAACAAUGCUUAGGGAGCUGAUCCAAAAGUGUGCCCGGGGCAUGGUCGUAUCACAAGGGAUAUUCCUGCACCAAAUUAAAUCAACAAGUUAGUUCAUGCAACACAUACAUUAAAUUCGGCAGCAUAGGGAUAUAAAAAUCUGCUCAUUUAGUUCGGUCAACUAAAUAAAUAUUUGUGGUAGUUUAAGACAUAUUUAAGGCACUAGACUAAUUAGGACAUAUUAAAUAACACUCAAUAAUUAUUUUGACCAGAAAUUAAACUCAAUUAAUUAACUUAACUAAUUUAACUAACAACUUAAAUAAAUAUUCCAGCAAAAUAAAUAUAAACGCAAUUGAGGUUAAAAUGAGCUGAUUGAGCUAAGAGGGAGCUCGAUGAGCUAAAGUUGAGCUGAAUGAACUUGAAGUAGAUUGCACGGAUUGCUUAAUUUGCUGGCCCAUGAUUUUUCAAGUAGAAUAGCCACGGAUUCACUCCAAGCUCGAUCCACCAAAGUUGAAAUUGCAUUCUUGAACUUAUUAGCUCUAGCUCGAGUAAUGGGUCCUUUUGGUAGCUCAAGGGAAAUAUCAUUAACACUCGAUAGCUAUUGGGUCUCGAUCGCAUCAUUCCCUCCCUCUUCGAGGUGAUUUGCCCCCAAAUCGCUUCCUGCAUCAAACGGAGAAAGAUCAGCAACAUUAAAACUUGCACUAAUGUUAUCAUCACCUGGAAGAUCAAGCUUGUAUGAAUUUUCAUUAAUUCGUUCCAACACUUGAAAGGGACCAUCUCCUCUUGGUAGCAGCUUUGACCUUCCUUGUGCCGGAAAACGUUCUUUUCUGAUGUGAACCCAAACCCAGUCUCCGGGUUCAAACACUAUUUGCUUUCUUCCUUUAUUUGCUGAAUGCAUAUAUUGUUCGGUUUGAGCUUCGAUGUUGGCCUUCACCCUUUGAUGAAGUUUCUUUAUAUAUUCGGCUUUUUUCUUAGCAUCAGAAUGGACAAGCUGAUCAUUGGGCAAAGGAAGCAAGUCUAACAAAGUUAGAGGGUUGAACCCAUACACAACCUCGAAUGGUGAAUGUCUAGUAGCAGAAUGAACGAAUCUGUUGUAAGCAAAUUCUACAUGCGGUAGACAAUCUUCCCACGCUUUGAGGUUCUUUCGAAUAAUUGCCCGCAAUAAGGUUGAAAGUACGCGAUUCACAACCUCCGUUUGUCCAUCCGUUUGAGGAUGACAUGUUGUUGAAAAUAGCAGCUUCGUUCUUAACCUUCCCCAUAGAGUUCUCCUAAAAUGACUUAGGAACUUUGUGUCUCGAUCGGAUAUGAUGGUUUUCGGAACUCCAUGAAGUCGUUCAACCUCCCUAAAGAACAAAUUAGCAAUAUGGACAGCAUCGUCAGUUUUAGAAUAAGCUAUAAAAUGUUACAUUUUGGAAAAUCUAUUGAUACGAGUCAUAAAGGCCCAAUCCAAGUUCAAAAACGUGAUGGGCUCAAAUUGCCACAAGGCCCAAUAACGAGAUCAAAGGCCCGACAAAUGCGGUCCAAACUAAAUGGGACCAUUCAAGAGCUUGUUAGCAAGGCCUUAGAUGCAUACACGAGAGAACAAGAAAAUCAAGAUUCACUUUCUUGUUUUCAAGAAAAUCAAGAAAUCGAAUCUUGGCCCAAUUUUGCUGUUCGAAGAGAUUUCAAGAAUCAAAAAAAUCAAAAUUUCAAAUCUUGGAAAUCUUGGUCCAAGAAACCAAAUCUUGCAGCCAAAACGCAUUGGAUCUCCAUUACGAGCGUCAACGACCCAAUUUUGGUAGGAGAUGGAUCACGAGCCCAAAUUCUUGAAGGCGAGGCCCAAUAACCAAAAUCCAGCCCAAUCAAGAAAUUUCUUCAUACUUAGUUGAAAAUCAGGCCAAAAUGUCAAAGGGCCCAAUUUGUAAACAUCUUACUUGUUUAAUUUAAUUUUUUAAUCUUUAGGAGCAUUACAUGUAAAAUUCGGCCCAAAACAGCCCAUAUAAGUGCAUGGCCGAAUUUACCUUGUUAUUUUAUUAAUUAGGUUUAAUUUUUUAUUAGUUACUUGUGAGAUUAGGAUUUGUUGGAGGCCUAUAUAAGCAUUGGCCAGCCACCCUUUGUAAAAACAUCUUAUUAUCAAUCAAUACAUUAAAUUUCAGUUUGUUAGAGUGCAGAAUUUUCUUUGGGGUUUUCUCCAAGAAUUCUCUCUUGAGCUUUCUUUAGAAGUUGUUUUAACAAUCUUUUGAUUGUGGGAGCCAUCUUCAACCUUCUUCUUGCCAUCGAUAUUCUUUGGAGGGGAGAUUAGAGCCGUUUGAAGAGAUUUGUGAAAUCUUUCGGGAUUUCAAGGAUCUUUAGGACUUAUCCUUUAAUUUUUGCUGUUCAAAUUCUUUUAUUUAAUUCUACUUGUGCCGAAUCUUAAUUCUAAUCUAUUUGCUGUUUUAUUUGUGUUUCCAGCCCUCGUUUAUCUUAAAGAAUUGAUCAAUUUCACUUUUUGCUGGAGUUUGACAAUCAGCCUAAAUCCCCAAAUUCUAGGGUUCUUGCCGAAUGCACACUUAUUCUUCUUGGGUGAAUUUGGUUGUGGAAACUUAGGGGAAACUUUCGUGGUGGUCAAUUGAGCAGAUUGCCCUCGCUUUCUCAGCCUCAAGAGCCGUUUUAUGCCUUCAAUUUCUUUCUUUCUCAUUGACGCAUAAACCCUAAUUUGUUUCAAGAAAUUUUGGUCGAUCUAAUUUGCUUGCUGAUUUAGUGUUCUGACAGAUUCGGCUUGUGGGAGUUCAUUCUUGGGAAUCAAUUUCGUGUUCUUGGUUUCAAGAAACCUCUUUCAUAAGUGUUUCGUUCCUUGAUUAGAUCUUGCUGAUUUUUAGGGUUCUUAUUCCAGAUUUUAAUUUUCCAGAUUUAAUCUCGUUCUUUGUUUGAUUUCAGAUCUGUUCGUUUAGAGCUUUCGUAGGAGUUUCCCGUGACUUGAUGACUCGAUCUUGGUCCGCGCGUGUUCCUAUAUCAUUUGGUAUCAGAUUUUGGGCGUUUUGGGUGUUCUUGGUUGAUUUCUAAACUGAUCUCUAUUUUUUAAAGCAUAAACAGCAGUUUUACCCAGAAAAAUUGUUCAAAAAAAAUUCAUUUGAGUGGGUAAACGUUGUCCGAUUGAUCUGAAAUUUUACAUACAUGUUUUUGGCACUGUGAUUGAAUAUAAAAAAAUUAUUCCCACAAAAAAAUCAGUCAAAAAAGUCAAAAAAAUCAAAAAAUACGAAAUUCAAUAAAAAUUUAAAAAAAGAUUCAGCGGGAUAAAUUUGGUGCCCAAAAUUUCCAGAUCAAAAAUUAAAUAUAUAAGGACACUCCAGAUUUAAUUUCGUUAUUUUUGGAGAUGGAGAACACCUCGAACGAAGUUAUCAAGUUACUCCGCAGUUUUUCGGGUUUUCUGUUUUCAGCAAUUUUUAUUGAUUCUUAGCUGUAGGUUUUCAUUUGUUUACCUUUCUUCUUCCUUUACGUUAUCUAACACCUUCUUGUUUCUUGUGUUAGUAGGAUUUAAACGUGUGCACAACUUCUUCCUCGGUGCAACACGAAUCAAUUGGUGUCUAGUCAGUUUUUGGCAUCCUAGUGCAAAUUAGGAUUCUUUGGUAGUUUGGUUCACACUCUCUAAUUGGUUGAUAUAAACUCUGAUAAAGAACUCACAAGAUUGAAUUCGACCUCAUUGAGAAUUUGAUUUUUUCUUUUUGAGUGAUUAACGGUGAGGUUUGAUAACUUUUAUUUUUGAGUGUUGAGUGUUUAUUUUUUACAGGUUUUUGAAAAUGUCUAAAGGUGAUAAUAAUGAGGACAUAUUUAAAAGAUUCCAACAACAGUUGGACGAACAGGCUGCUGCACUUCGAGCGUUGACUGCUACUAUCAAUGAGGUGCGGUUGAAUCAAGAGCCUCAAUAUCGAUAUCAAAUUAAAGACGAUGUGGAUAACCAGCCUCCUGCUCAUAGACGCGCUCCUCAGCGUGUCCCUAGAACUGAUUAUGAUCUUCAUGAUCGUGGACAACCCUCUUUUGCAAAACCAAAGAGCGAGCAGCAACGAGAACAUCUCUUUCAUACUCGCUGCCAUGUACAAGGUAAGCUUUGUAGAGUUAUUAUUGAUGGUGAAAGUUGCUCGAACGUAGCCAGCACGAUGAUGGUGGAAAAGCUUUGCUUAACCACUACCAAGCAUCCACGACCUUAUCAACUACAAGGGCUUAGCAACGAAAGCCAAUUUAAGGUCACUCAACAAGUGCGCAUCGCCUUUUCUAUCAGUAAGUAUCAAGAUGAAGUCGUGUGCGACGUAGUACCUAUUCAAGACUGCCAUUUGUUGCUAGGAGAACCAUGGCAACUAGAUCGAAAGGUCACUCACGAUGGUCGUACCAAUAGGUAUUCUUGAUGUGAUCCGGCUCGGUUGAUUGAGUCGAUUCACUUGAUUUCUUUUCAAGCUCUCUUUCAAUUUCUUUUUUCGCUUUUUCUUUUUCAAUUUUUUUUUCAUUCUCAAUUUCUUUUUCAAUUUUCUUUUCUUCAUUUUCUUUUUCUCUCACUUUUUCGAUUUCUUUUUCAAUCUCUUUCUCCUUUUCUCGGUCAAUGGAUUGCUUCAUUUUGAAUUGGUCUUCUUGCACUUGUUCCGGUGUGAGCGGCGCUAAAGUGACUUUCCUUCCUUGAUGCUUGAAGGAAUACCUAUUGGUACGUUCAUCGUGAAUGACCUUGCGAUCCGAUUGCCAUGGUUCUCCUAGCAACAAAUGGCAGACUUGAAUAGGCACAACAUCACAAAGGACUUCGUCUUGGUAUCUUCCGAUGGAAAAUGCAACACGCACUUGUUGAGUAACUUCAAAUUUGCCUUCAACACCAAGUCCUUGCAGUUGAUAGGGUCGUGGAUGCUUGGUAGUGGCCAAGCCAAGUUUUUUUACCGUUCGAAUACUAGCCAUGUUUGACCUACUUCCACCAUCAAUAAUGAGGCAACAAACUUUAUCGUGGACACGGCAAUGCGUGUGAAACAUAUCUUCACAUUGUGGUUCAUUUUCCAAUCUUUGAAGGAUUGCACUAAUCUUGAUGUCAACGAUAGUAGAUGUCAAAUCUUCUUUAUCUUUGUCGAAUUGUCGAAAUUCAGAUCGCAUUAUCCUUUGCAUUUCUUGUCUCCACAUUUGGAAUUCAAAUUCAGAAAAUUCUUCAGACAUGCUUCAACAAAAUAUUAGAAAACAAAAGUUAAAUUAGAAAGAAAAAUAAUUCUCACCACAAAUCUCUCAAAUUCGCUCAAAAAGAAAAAUUCACUCACUCGUGUUUGAACUCUCUUUUAGGCUUUUUUUUUCGAAUGAACUCACGCUCUCUUGCCUUUUACCACUCGACCUCGUCUCACAAAUUCGUAAUUCGUCUCGAUAGACUUAAUUUGCUGCUUGAGGGUCGGUUUCAAAAUGGGUUACAAGGGAUAAUGUCGGUGUAGGGUAGGCUAAACAAAAUAAAAUCAAGGCUAAGUGUGGCGUUGGGAUGGGUAAAUAAUGGUAGGAAGGGAAACUUGAUGAUCGGAGUAAAUAAGAGAAGAAAAUAAAAAUUCGCAAGACUUUUCACUGUUUUUUUUAACUUGAUUUUUUUGUCACUUCUUUUUUUUCUUUUUUUUCGAUUUUUUUUUUGAAUUUUUUUUUGAAUUUCUUCUCUUUUUUUUAAAUCCAAUACAAUAGUAAACAAAAUACAAGGAAGAGAAAAAAAAAUUAAAUUCCAACUCAAAUUUUUUUGUUUUUUUUUACUUUUUUUUAACAUUACGAACCUACUCCGAGCUUGAUACGAAUGUCAGCACUCCUCGUUUUAGUAGCUCUGAUACCAAAUGAUGUGAUCUGGCCCAGAUUAAUUGAGUCGUUUCACGUAAUUGCCCGAUCGUCGACGAGGAAUAGUUGAGUUAUCGAAAAUAGGAUGAAAUAAGGCUAAAGAUGCGGAAGCUUUGAAAUGGUUUUAAAGGUUGGCUAAGGUGAUGGUAAAUUUAUAAGGGUAGUAGGCUCGAUUUAAGGAUAAAAAUAAGAAAAAUGGAAGUUGAUAAAUGAAGGCUCGGUUUUGUAAAAAGAUAUUAUAGUUGGGUAAAAUCUAGGAUAGUCGGUGGAAUGGAUAAAUGAGCUUAAACGCCAGAAACGAUUCAACACUAAAAAGUGUCACCCCGAUUUCUAUUUGGUUCAAGGUGGGAUUGCGGAAUUGUAGAAGGGUUGAACGCCACACCAAAGCAAGGUGAUAAGUUCAAAAGAGAACGAUAGACGCCAUUAGCAUGCUAGAUAAGUCAGAUCGAGACUCGUACGAAAUAGGAUAGGAGGAAACCUCACAAUCAAGUUUUCAAUAAUCAAAUUCUGUAACCUUUUACAAUAAACAAAAUAAACUAUUUAUAGGCUCUCUAAUCGGGUUGACGCCACUAGCGAGCUAGAUAAGUCAGAAUGAGACUCGUACGAAAUAGGAUAGGAGGAAACCUCACAAUCAAGUUUUCAAUAAUCAAAUUCUGUAACCUUUUACAAUAAACAAAAUAAACUAUUUAUAGGCUCUCUAAUGCCUAUUAAAAUUCAGCUACUAAUGUGUUCACACAACAAUUAAAAAUGUUCACACUUCAAGCAUUAAAUCUCUGUUCAUGGAUAGUGUAAGUUCAUGCAUGGUUGAAUAAUCAUGUUUCUUCCCAAAACCCGUUCAUGCAUGCUUAACCAAUAAGAAAGCUUCCUUGUUCCAUGAAUGUGCAUCUUCAAUUCAUAUCCAACCCCUCUUGGACGAAUGCUAGGUGCAUGGGUCAUGCAUCUCUCUUAAUUAAAACUUUAAUGAUGGGCUGGUUCAUGAAUGGAAGCAUGUACCUUGUAAAUUCGUUCUCCCCUUUGUACAUGCACAUUAUACAUUCAAUGUGAUGAAUUAAGGUAAUAUUCCCUCCCUUUGGACGUUCAUGAAUCCACCCAUACAUAUAUAGGAGCUGAUUGGUCAAAUUGAGGUGUGAAUGGCUUAGAUGCUGCCUUGGGAAUACGAUCGGCCAAGCUUGUGCUUUAAUUUGCUGGACACCUUUUGGCCAAAUAGGUGCCUUGGGGAGCCAAAUGGAUCAGCCACCAUUCAUUGAAAGAGGCCUUUACAUGCACCGUCCCAUACAUUGAACCUAUCAUGCAUGAACCUUGUUUAAUUACUCUCCAAAUUCAACUCACCUACAAAAACACAUGAACCAAAAUUAAAUCACAUAAAAUUCAGCUGAACAAACAUUAAUAUAAUUUAGACACACUAAUUAAACAUAAAUUAAAUUAGACAAAUUUAAUAAAGUCUUAACAAGACAUAUUAAAUUCGGCCAAGACACAUUUAAAACAUGUAAUAAGUCAAAACAUAAUUAUGAGCUGUAGUAAUUUAAGCUAAAUUAAUAAAUUACUUAAUUUAUUCAGACAUUAAAAUAAAUGAGUUGAAAUAAACUUAAGCCAAGCUCAAACGAGCUAAAGUAAGCUAAAUUGAGCUCAAACGAGCUAAAUUAAGCUCAUGUGAGCUAAAUCGAGCUGGGAAAAACUAAGAUUGAGCUUGUUAAGCUGAGAUUGAGCUUCAUCUUGCACUUGGGGCCCUCGUGUUUAGGCCAAUCAUGAUAGCAACGAGUGGUGCCAAAACAUGAUGCGAUUGAGAUCACAUCAAUUCUUUCAAGUAUCAAGGAAGGAAAAUCACCUUAGUGCCGCUCACUCCGGAACAAGUCCAUGAGGACCAAAUCAAACUGAAAAAUUCUGUUGUUAAAACAAGUGAGGAAAAAGAAAAAGAGAAUGAAAAAGAGUAAAAAGAGAUUGAGAGUGAAAAGGAAUGUGAAACAGAAAAUAAAAUUGAAAAAGAAGUUGAAGAAAGAAGAGAAAAUGAGUUAGAAAAAGAAAUAAAAGAAAAAGACGAGGAAAGGCUAGUGAGGAAUGUUUUCACUAACCAAGAUAUGAAUUUUUCUUGUGUUGCUACUUUUCAGGUUCCCGAAGGACCGAAAGAUAACUUUCAACUUCAAUACCUCUCAAAUGAAAGACGCUUCCAUACGAUCAACUUAGGCAAACAUGAAAUCACACUACAUGAUCCCGAAGGUAAGCGAGGUAAGGAAAUUUUAGAAACCGAGUCCAGUGCAGAUUUGAAAAUUAUUGAUAAAACUUUUGGUGACUUAGUUCUUAAAAGAUCCCCUCAUUUUGAUCCGAUUAAUUGUUACUCUUCGAUUGUGGUUGAUAAAGUCAUUACGAAAAGAAGCGUGAUUUGUUAUUCUCUUGAUUUUCCUUGUGUAAAAUCCUCGAAUUUGUCCAAAUCUGUUUUGGAGAAUAAGGUAACGAAAUUUUCCAAAUUUGUUUUCAAUUUAUAUUCGUGCCUUAAACAGUUUAUGUGGUUGUACAUGAAGUUUGAGUUCCAUUUGACAAAGGUUAACUCAACAACGGAGAUUCGACUACACUAUGCCCUCGAUGAGCGAAGGUUUGUUUUAAAUGAAAAAGGUAAAAUCGACCCUUAUUCUUUUGCUUAUCAAGGUAAGAUGCUUGAAACCUUUGAAACACUUUUGUACUCCUCGGAUAGCGACAAAGAUUGUGUUGAUGAACACUUAGAUCGAAACGUGCUUGACUGUCCUAUUUUAUUUAUUGAUGAUAAAUCUAUUUUGAUGGUUGAUAAAAAGAUUCUUGUUUUUGAUAAUGCAUGUGUGAGUGAAUCUAUAAACCGUUGAUUAAUGCAUGGUAAUCUGAAUCUGCCUAUUCACAUGCGUUAUACCUGUUCUAUUAUGCUUAUAAUUGGACUACAAGCUUGUUUGCAUUGCUAUUUACUAUUUCAUGGCUAUUCAUUUUAGUGGACUCAAUUGCCAUUAGUCCCAUUCGAUCGAGGAAAGUCGAGUUCAUUUGAUUUUUUAGAUUCGAGGAUGAAUCUUUUUGAGGAAGGGGGGAAAGAUACGAGUCAUAAAGGCCCAAUCCAAGUUCAAGAACGUGAUGGGCUCAAAUUGCCACAAGGCCCAAUAACGAGAUCAAAGGCCCGACAAAUGCGGUCCAAACUAAAUGGGACCAUUCAAGAGCUUGUUAGCAAGGCCUUAGAUGCAUACACGAGAGAACAAGAAAAUCAAGAUUCACUUUCUUGUUUUCAAGAAAAUCAAGAAAUCGAAUCUUGGCCCAAUUUUGCUGUUCGAAGAGAUUUCAAGAAUCAAAAAAAUCAAAAUUUCAAAUCUUGGAAAUCUUGGUCCAAGAAACCAAAUCUUGCAGCCAAAACGCAUUGGAUCUCCAUUACGAGCGUCAACGACCCAAUUUUGGUAGGAGAUGGAUCACGAGCCCAAAUUCUUGAAGGCGAGGCCCAAUAACCAAAAUCCAGCCCAAUCAAGAAAUUUCUUCAUACUUAGUUGAAAAUCAGGCCAAAAUGUCAAAGGGCCCAAUUUGUAAACAUCUUACUUGUUUAAUUUAAUUUUUUAAUCUUUAGGAGCAUUACAUGUAAAAUUCGGCCCAAAACAGCCCAUAUAAGUGCAUGGCCGAAUUUACCUUGUUAUUUUAUUAAUUAGGUUUAAUUUUUUAUUAGUUACUUGUGAGAUUAGGAUUUGUUGGAGGCCUAUAUAAGCAUUGGCCAGCCACCCUUUGUAAAAACAUCUUAUUAUCAAUCAAUACAUUAAAUUUCAGUUUGUUAGAGUGCAGAAUUUUCUUUGGGGUUUUCUCCAAGAAUUCUCUCUUGAGCUUUCUUUAGAAGUUGUUUUAACAAUCUUUUGAUUGUGGGAGCCAUCUUCAACCUUCUUCUUGCCAUCGAUAUUCUUUGGAGGGGAGAUUAGAGCCGUUUGAAGAGAUUUGUGAAAUCUUUCGGGAUUUCAAGGAUCUUUAGGACUUAUCCUUUAAUUUUUGCUGUUCAAAUUCUUUUAUUUAAUUCUACUUGUGCCGAAUCUUAAUUCUAAUCUAUUUGCUGUUUUAUUUGUGUUUCCAGCCCUUGUUUAUCUUAAAGAAUUGAUCAAUUUCACUUUUUGCUGGAGUUCGACAAUCAGCCUAAAUCCCCAAAUUCUAGGGUUCUUGCCGAAUGCACACUUAUUCUUCUUGGGUGAAUUUGGUUGUGGAAACUUAGGGGAAACUUUCGUGGUGGUCAAUUGAGCAGAUUGCCCUCGCUUUCUCAGCCUCAAGAGCCGUUUUAUGCCUUCAAUUUCUUUCUUUCUCAUUGACGCAUAAACCCUAAUUUGUUUCAAGAAAUUCUGGUCGAUCUAAUUUACUUGCUGAUUUAGUGUUCUUUGACAGAUUCGGCUUGUGGGAGUUCAUUCUUGGGAAUCAAUUUCGUGUUCUUGGUUUCAAGAAACCUCUUUCAUAAGUGUUUCGUUCCUUGAUUAGAUCUUGCUGAUUUUUAGGGUUCUUAUUCCAGAUUUUAAUUUUCCAGAUUUAAUCUCGUUCUUUGUUUGAUUUCAGAUCUGUUCGUUUAGAGCUUUCGUAGGAGUUUCCCGUGACUUGGCAACUCGAUCUUGGUCCGCUUGCAACUCCAUAUCAUCUAUCUACAACAACAAAGAUAGAGUCCUUCCCCGUUUUGGUCCUUGGUAGUCCUAGGACCAAAUCCAUUGAAAGAUCGACCCAUGGUGCGUUAGAUAUGGGCAAUGGUUUGUAGAGUCCAUGCGGAUUGAUUUUGGACUUGGCCUUCUUGCAAGUUAUACAUUGGCUACAGACCCGCUCAACAUCUUUUCUCAUCCCAGGCCAAAAGAAAUGCUCAUGGAGGGUUGACAACGUCUUAGCCACCCCAAAAUGGCCCAUGAUUCCACCACCAUGUGCCUCAAUCACCAACAAUUUCCGUAUUGAGCUUUGCAGAAUACAUAGCUUGCCUUCGCGGAAAAGAAAUCCAUCAAACCUGAAAAACUUAUCAACAGCUUUGUUUUCACAAGAUUUAUAAAUAUCACCAAAAUCAAUAUCACCAUCAUACAAUUCCUUCAAAAAGGAAAAUCCAAGCAAUUUUGAAUCCAAAUAUGAUAGCAAAGUAUAUCAUCGAGAUAACGCGUCAGCCACAAUAUUUUCCUUACCUUUCUUAUAUUUACUGAUAUAACGAAACGAUUCUAAAAACUCUACCCAUUUGGCGUGCCGUUUGUUCAACUUUGCUUGUCCCUUAAUAUGUUUCAACACCUCAUGAUCCGAGUGUAUGGCAAACUCUUUUGGCCAUAAGUAGUGCUGCCAUGUCUCGAGAGCUCAAAUUAGAGCAUACAUUUCCUUGUCGUACGUCGGAUAGUUGAGAACGGCUCCAUUUAACUUCUCACUAAAGUAUGCCACGGGCCUUCCAUCUUGUGUUAAAACGGCUCCAAUUCCGACACCUGAUGCAUCACAUUCAACUUCAAACAUUUUAGCAAAAUCAGGUAACACAAGUAAUUGAGCAUUAGUUAAACAUGAUUUAAUGGCAAUAAAAGAUUUUUCUUAUUCCUCAUUCCAAUAGAAAGCAGACAACUUUUUGAUCACACUAGUUAAAGGUGCUGCCAAGGUACUAAAAUUUGGAACAAAUCGUCGAUAGAAGCUUGCCAAUCCGUGGAAGCUCCUCACUUGGCUAAUGCUCGUGGGUCUAGGCCACUCUCGAAUGGCUUUCACCUUUUCUUGAUAAACUCCAGUCCUUCCGAGCUGACCACGAAUCCUAAAAAAUAACCUUGUUAGUACAAAAAGUACAUUUCUUAAGAUUAGCAAACAAAGAUUCUUUUCUAAGCACAUCCAAAACAGAUUUUAAAUGCAACAAAUGGUCAUCUAAGGAUUUGCUAUAGAUAAGUAUAUCAUCAAAAUAGACAACACAAAAUUUUCCGAUGAAAGAACGAAGAACAUGGUUCAUCAAGCGCAUGAAAGUCCUGGGCACAUUGGUAAGCCCGAAUGGCAUAACCAGCCACUCGUAGAGCCCAUGCUUCGUCUUAAAAGCGGUUUUCCACUCGUCCCCUUCACGCAUCCAAAUUUGGUGGUAUCCGCUCUUUAGAUCAAUUUUAGAAAACAAUCGAGCACCACUCAAUUCAUCCAACAUAUCAUCGAGUCGCGGUAUUGGAUGUCGAUACUUAAUAGUGAUCUUAUUCACCGCGCGACAAUCUACGCACAUACGCCAUGUUCCAUCCUUCUUUGGCACCAAUAAAACCGGUACGGCGCAUGGACUAAGACUUUCUCGUAUAUAUCCCUUCUCCAUAAGUUCAUUGACUUGUUUUUGCAAUUCUUUGGUCUCUUCGGGAUUUGUACGAUAAGCUGGACGAUUGGGAAUAGAGGCUUUGCGAAUGAAAUCAAUUUGAUGUUAUAUUCCUCGAAUGGGCGGUAACCCAUUAGGAAUGUCUUCCAGAAACACGUCCUCGAAUUCCUGCAAAAGAGAAACAAUCGAAGAGGGCAAAUUUGGAUCCAACUAGUUAGUAGUCAAAAGAGUUUCCUUGUACAUAAGUACAAGAACCGAUUGCUGCGUCAAAUAAGAUUUCCUAAAAUCACUCUCUCUUGCAUAAACACUCAUCUUCUUUUGCUCUUCUUCCUCUCUCUUUUUUUUGUCGAUCGAUUUAUUUUUUUCUCUCACAUUUUUCAUUUGUUUUUCUUUUUUCUUCUCAAUAUGUUUUUCACUCUCUUUUUCAUUCUUUUCUUUAUGUACAUUUUCUUGAAAUUUCUCUACACUCUCUCUUAGUUUCAAUUGAUCUUCAUAAACUUGCCUCGGCGUCAUGGGAACCAAAGUUACAUUUUUCCCAUCGUAUUUGAAGGUGUAGCGGUUUGUGAAACCAUCAUGAAUGACUUUGCGAUCAAAUUGCCAUGGACGACCCAAUAACAUAUGACCAGCGUGCAUGGGUACUACGUCGCAUAGAACUUCGUCGAAAUAUUUUUCGAUAGUGAACGACACCAAAACUUGCUUAGUUACCUUCAACUCCCCUCCAUCAUUAAGCCAUUGAAGUUUGUAGGGUUGAGGGUGCUUAGUUGUUGGCAAGCUGGGUUUUUCAACCAUUAAAGUGCUAGCCACAUUUGAACAACUCCCGCCAUCCACAAUCAAGCUACACACCUUGCCUUGGACAUGGCAACGUGUAUGAAAAAUGUUCUCCCUUUGUUGUUCAUUUUCAACACUUUGAAGACUAAGGCUUCGUUUAAUAACGAGAAUUUCACCUUCAACGGCGUAUUCAAGUUCAUCCUCUUCCUCCUUUUCGGCCAUUUCAUUGGGUUCUUCGUCAUCUUCUUCUUCCGAUUCAAUUUCUCCAUUAGCCCGCACAAUCAUGUUGGUUCAGUUAGGGCAUUGACUCGCAAUGUGGCCCCUCCCUAAGCACUUAAAACACUUUAUUUCUCGUGAUCGAUUCGGUAUAGCAACUUCUUUGCCUUUGCUUGUUUCACCAACAGGUUUACUCACCUUAGAAGACAAAGGGUGAUCUUUAGUGCGAUUAGAGAAGUCUUUCUUACCCGUGCCUUGGUUCAACCUUUGAGGAUUGUUGGUGCUAGGAAAGGUUCGGCUAGAACUUUUUCUUUUCAAUUGCUUUUCAACUUUGAUAGCAACAUGCACCAUAUCAACAAUGUCAACGUAGUGUUGAAGCUCCACCACAUUGGCUAUGUCACGAUUAAGUCCGACCAAAAAUCGAGCCAUGGUUGCUUUGCGAUCUUCAUCCACGUUCACUCGUAUCAUGGCAAUCUCCAUUUCUUUAAAGUAGUCCUCCACGCUUCGAUUUCCUUGCGUAAGAUUUUGCAACUUUUGGUAAAGUUCACGAUAAUAAUAAGAAGGUAUAAAUCUCCUACGCAUUACGGCUUUCAUUUCAGUCCAAGUUGAGAUUGGCCGCUCCCCGUUCCUUCUUCGACUUGUAGUAAGUUGAUCCCACCAUAUCAUUGCGUAAUCGGAGAACUCAAUUUCUGCCAAUUUCAACUUUUUGCUCUCCGAGUAGUUGUGACACUCGAAGACCAUCUCGAUUUUUCUCUCCCAUUCUAGAUAAGCUUUCGGAUCAGAUUUCCCAUGAAAGGGAGGAAUGGAUAGCUUAAUACUUUUUAAAUCAUCAUCAACUUGGCCUCGAUCUCUAGGACCCCUAUUUCUUUGACCUCGUCGUCUCUCGUUUUGAUUCAACUCUUGGUUGCUUUCCACCUCGCUUGGCUCGUAGGGAUCAUCCACGAAAGGUCUUGCUCGCCCUCGCCCCCAUCUCGGUCCUUAAGGGGUUCCUUCUCGUGUUGGUCCUCCUUCCACUCGAUCGAGUCUCUCAUUAAUAUAUUCAAGUUUAGUUCGAAGCAUUCGUUGGAAUUCCCUUAAGAGGUCUUGUUGACCUAAAUCGGGAACUCCUCCUCCGACAUUUCUUAUCGGUUGUCUUUCGGUCCUUUCCGUAACAUUUUGCUCGGGAUUUUGAGACAUAAUAAAGAUUCCUCACCACAAAGACUCACGUUCACUCAGAAAAGAAAGAAAGAACGACACUUACGCUCGUGUUUACACUCUUUGGCUUUUACCUCCUCUCGAAUAUGCUCACACACUCGUGCCUUUUUCCUCUCGUUUCUUCUCUUAUAAUUUCGUAUAAGACUUGGUAGGGCUUGAUCUUUAGUUUAGAAGGUCGGCUUCAAAAGGUUUGCAAAGGAAAUUCAUAUGGUUUAGGGUAGGCUCGAAAGAAAGAAAGGUUUAAAGGUGUGGCGUAUAAAAUGGUUUCACUAAUUGGAAAAGAAGAAUAAAAUUUUUUUUAAUAGCGUGAAAUUUCACCAAGAGGGAUAUUAAGGAGUGUAGAAUGUGAUUUUGGAAAUUUUUUUGUUGAAGUGUCUCCAGACUCUUUUUUUUACGGAUCUUUCACGUUCUUUUCGUCCGCACCUAGACCGUAUAAAUUUUUUUCUUUUUUUCAAUUUUUUUUGAUUUUUUUUUUUCGAUUUUUUUUCAAAUUUUUUUCACGAGUCUACUUUCUUCGGCUUUUCUCAAACGUCCAAACUCCUCGUUUUAACCAGCUCUGAUACCAAAUGAUGCGAACCAGCCUCGGUUUAAUGAGUUGAAUCACUUUUUUUGCCCGAUCGUCCAAACGAUGAAGUUUCAUUCUUCUUGAGUCAAUUCGUUCUACUUGAUCAAUGAAGUCAUUUGAGGUUCAAUUGAGAUUAAAGAAAGUGAUUUGUAAGGUAUUUCGGCUAAGAAAGAAAUAACGAAUUUGGAUAGGUGAUGAUUCAGUUUUAAAGGUAUAUGGAAUGAUUGGCUUAAAAACAAGAAAGAACCAACACUAAAUGUAGUUGAGUGUUGACCCGUUUCCUAUAUGCUUUUAAGAUGGUUCGGUAGUGAAAUAGAUAGAAUUAACCUCGACCCGCUACCUAUUGAAGAUAGGAACCUCGGUAUAGUUGAACGCCACACUUUGGUUGAAAGUGAUAAGUUCGGGUUGCAAAGAACAAAGGUUGACGCCACUAACUAGUAGAUAAGCCAACUAAGUCUUUGGACGAAAUUGAGAGAAGAAUUCCUCACAAAAUACUUAAUUCAAUAAUCAAAAUGGCAAAAGUCCUUUUACAAAUAAACAAGCAAAUAUUUAUAGUUCUUCAAAGGCUAGCCGAAUAGACAAACUUAAAAGCUAAGAAAAAUCAAGAAAAUUCCAGAAUUAAUUCCUCAAGAAGAUUCGGCUGAAUGGGCAUUCAAAUGGACAGCUUAAGCAUGAAGCAAAUGCACCUUGCAAAGAUGAAUGCAUCGGUAGAUCAAUGCUCUUGUCCAGGUUCGGCCUUGCUCUUAAAUUACUCCUUAAAUUGGCACUUGUUGGCUGAAAAGAUAGGAACAUUAAAGAUAGUUGUUGAACAGCCACACAAGUGUGAAAAGUCGGUUCUGAAGAGUCAAAUAUGUGUGAACAUUAUCAGCUGAAUAGUCCCCCAUGUGAACACUUAAAAUAGGCUGAAUGUAGAUGUUUAAGGAUGGCAAAUUCGGCUGAAUAUUCAUUUGGUAGUGCCAUGCAUGUUUCGGCCAAAUACAAUGAACCUUAGGUGCAUGCACCCAUGCCGUCCAAGGGAGAUUCCUGCACCAAAUUAAAUCAACAAGUUAGUUGAUAUGGGGUUGCGCGCGGACCAAGAUCGAGUUGCCAAGUCACGGGAAACUCCUACGAAAGCUCUAAACAAACAGAUCUGAAAAUUAAAACAAAGAACAAGAUUAAACUAAUCAGAUCUAAAAUUAAAUCCCCAAAUUCAAUUAAAUGAGCAGCAAGGAACAAAGAACGAAUGAAUAAAUGUAUUCGGAGUUCAAGAAGAUGAAGUCGAACUCCAAUAGUGAAAUCCCACAAGCCGAAUCUGCCCAAGAACAAACUGACAAUAAAAACCCCAAAUUCCAGCAACUUGAUUUCCCCAAAAUCAGAAUGUAUUAAUCGACAAGAACCCUAGGAUUUAGGGAUUUUGGUUCGAAACUUUACUGCCCAAAAGUAGACCGAUUAAAUGGAAGGAUCUUGGAGUUAAACAAAGCUGAAACACAAGCAAGAACAGCAAAAAAAGAUUAGAUAAUGAAUCGGCACAAGUAGGAAUAAAGAAACAAAUCGAAAUAGCAAGAAAUAAAGAAAAGUCCUAAGAACCCUUGAAUUCCCGAAAGAAUUCACAAAUUCCUUCAAACGGCUCUAAUCUCCCCUCCAAAGAAUAUCGAUGGCAAGAAGAAGGUUGAAGAUGGCUCCCACAAUCAAAAGAUUGUUAAAACAACUUCUAAAGAAAACUCAAGAGAGAAUUCUUGGAGAAAACCCCAAAGAAAAUUCUACACUCAACAAAUCUGAAAUUUGAUAGAAAAAAUAAUAAUAAGAUGUUUUUACAAAGGGUGGCUGGCCAAUGCUUAUAUAGGCCUCCAACAAAUCCUAAUCUCACAACUAACUAAUAAAAAAUUAAACCUAAUUAAUAAAAUAACAAGGUAAAUUCGGCCAUGCACUUAUAUGGGCUGUUUUGGGCCGAAUUUUACAUGUAAUGCUCCUAAAGAUUAAAAAAUUAAAUUAAACAAGUAAGAUGUUUACAAAUUGGGCCCUUUGACAUUUUGGCCUGAUUUUCAACUAAGUAUGAAGAAAUUUCUUGAUUGGGCUGGAUUUUGGUUAUUGGGCCUCGCCUUCAAGAAUUUGGGCUCGUGAUCCAUCUCCUACCAAAAUUGGGUCGUUGACGCUCGUAAUGGAGAUCCAAUGCGUUUUGGCUGCAAGAUUUGGUUUCUUGGACCAAGAUUUCCAAGAUUUGAAAUCUUGAUUUUCUUGAUUCUUGAAAUCUCUUCGAACAGCAAAAUUGGGCCAAGAUUCGAUUUCUUGAUUUUCUUGAAAACAAGAAAGUGAAUCUUGAUUUUCUUGUUCUCUCGUGUAUGCAUCUAAGGCCUUGCUAACAAGCUCUUGAAUGGUCCCAUUUAGUUUGGACCGCAUUUGUCGGGCCUUUGAUCUCGUUAUUGGGCCUUGUGGCAAUCCGUAUGACUCGUAUCAUUCCCCCUUCCUCAAAAAGAUUCGUCCUCGAAUCUAAAAAAUCAAAUGGGGACAAGUCAGCCACAUUAAAAGUAGAACUUACAUUGUACUCACCAGGUAGAUCAAUUUUAUAGGCAUUAUCGUUGAUCCGCUCGAGUACUUGGAAAGGCCCAUCGCCCCUUGGGUCCAACUUAGUCUUCCUUUUUGUAGGAAAUCGUUCUUUCCUCAAAUGGACCCAAACCCAAUCUCCGGGUUCUAGUACAACCCGUUUGCGCCCUUUGUUUGCUUUGUUGGUGUUGGCGUCAUUUGUUUUGGCUAUUUGCUGUCUAGCCUUCUCAUGUAAGGAUUUCACCAACUCAGCUUUCUGUUCGCCAUCUAAAUUCAUAACGUGUUCAAGAGGUAAUGGCGCAAGAUCAAGUACUGUUAGUGGGUUAAAACCAUAAACAAGUUCAAAUGGGGAAUAACCAGUUGUAGAAUGAAGAGAUCUAUUAUAUGCAAAUUCAACAAAUGGUAGGCAUUCUUCCCAAUUUCUAAUGUUCUUUCCCACAACAGCUCGUAAUAAAGUCCCUAAGAUUCGAUUAACUACUUCAGUUUGACCAUCAGUUUGGGGGUGACAUGUAGUAGAAUAAAGCAAUUUAGUACCAAGCUUACCCCACAAUACCUUCCAAAAGUGGCUAAGGAAUUUGACAUCUCUAUUAGAAACAAUUGUUUUAGGGAUGUCAUGAAGUCUUACCACUUCUUUAAAGAAUAAGUCUGCCACAUGUGUAGCAUCAUCUGUUUUGUGACAAGGAAUAAAAUGUGACAUCUUUGAAAACCUGUCAACAACAACAAAUAUACUAUCUCUUCCUUUUUUUGUUCGAGGCAAACCUAAAAUAAAAUCCAUGGAUAAAUCUACCCAAGGUGAAGUAGGAAUCGGUAGAGGAGUGUAAAGGCCAUGAGGCAUUACCUUAGAUUUUGCUUGUUUGCAUGUAAUGCACUUGGAACAUACCUUUUCCACAUCCUUCUUCAUAUGUGGCCAAUGGAAGUGUUCUUGCAAUAUGUCUAGUGUUUUGGCCACUCCAAAAUGUCCCAUUAAUUCCCCACUAUGGGCUUCAUGAAUCAACAAUUCUCUCAUGGAACACUUUGGUAUGCAUAACCUGUUUAAACGAAAAAGAAAGCCAUCUACAAGAUAAAAUUUUUCAAAAGCAGUAUGUCCACAAUUCUUAUAGAUAUGGCUGAAAUCAGUAUCAUCAUCAUAUAACUCUUUAAUAUGUUCAAACCCUAAGACUUUAGCAUUCAAUGUAGUUAUUAAAGUAUAUCGUCUAGACAAAGCAUCUGCGACUACAUUAUCUUUACCUGUUUUAUAUUGAAUCACAUAAGGGAAUGUUUCAAUGAAUUCUACCCAUCGGGCAUGUCUUUUACUCAACUUACCUUGUCCCUUUAACCAUUUAAGAGACUCAUGAUCUGUAUGUAUGACAAACUCAUUAGGCCGCAAAUAAUGUUGCCAUACUUGAAGUGCACGAACUAAUGCCAAUAGUUCUUUGUCAUAAGUCGAGUAAUUUAACUGUGCACCGUUCAAUUUCUCACUAAAAUAAGCAAUAGGUUGCUUAUCUUGCAUCAAAAAAGGCGCCGAUUCCAAUUCCUGAAGCAUCACACUCAAGUUCAAAAGUUUUAGCAAAAUCAGGUAAUUUAAGCAAAGGAGCAGAACAUAACUUAGCUUUUAGAGUUUGAAAAGCUUUUUCUUGGGUUUCACCCCAUUUGAAACCCACUGAUUUCUUUAUAACUUCAGUCAAUAGGGCAGCAAGAGUAGAGAAAUCUUUCACAAAUCGUCUAUAAAAACUGGCUAAACCAUGGAAAGAUCUCACCUCAGUUAUCGAUUUAGGAGUCGGCCACUCCUUAAUUGCCUUAACUUUGUCCUCGUCGACAUGAAUACCUUGAGCACUAACUUGAAACCUAAGAAUAUUAGUUUAUCAUAACAGAAUGUGCAUUUAUCAAGGUUGGCAAAUAAUCUUUCAGUUCGUAGAAUAUCCAAAACGGUUCGAACAUGGAAAACAUGAUCAUCUAAUGACUUUGAGUAAAUUAAAAUAUCAUCAAACUAAACUACUACAAAUUUACCCAAAUGUAGCCUCAAAACAUGAUUAAUUAAUCUCAUAAAUGUACUAGGUGCAUUAGUAAGGCCGCAAGGCAUAACUAACCAUUCAUACAAUCCAAAUUUUGUUUUAAAGGCUGUUUUCGAUUCAUCCCCUUCCCUCAUUCGAAUUUGAUGAUAACCGCUUUUUAAAUCAAUUUUUGUAAAUAUUAUUGAACCAUGUAAUUCAUCAAGCAUAUCAUCAAGUCUAGGGAUUGGGUGUCGAUACUUUACCGUUAUCUUGUUGAUUGGGCGACAAUCAACACACAUACGAAACGUACCAUCUUUCUUUGGCACCAAUAAGACAGGAACAGCACAAGGACUUAGGCUCUCACGAAUGUACCCUUUAUCUAGUAAUUCCUCAACUUGCCUUUGCAAUUCCUUUGUCUCCUCGGGAUUGCAUCUAUAGGCUGGUCGAUUUGGGAUUGAAGCUCCGGGUACUAAGUCAAUUUGAUGUUCUAUCCCUCGUAAAGGUGGUAAACCUUUAGGGGCCUCACUAAAAACAUCCUCAUAAUCCUGCAAAAGAGAUUGAAACACACUAGGCAAAUUUUUGUUAAUGUUAGAUAAAGAUAAAUAAUUUUGCCUAAACCUCAUAAGGAUACAAGGCUGUUUAUUAAGUAGGGCUCUCUUCACAUCUUUUUUUGUUGCCAAAAGAUUUUUUCCGCUCAUUUUACCACUAGAGGAUUCACUCACCUUUGGGCUUUUUAAAUUUUGACUUUUUCCACUACUAUUAGCCUAUUUUCUCUCUGUCUUUUGUACUUGCUCUUUCUCCCUUACCCCCUCACAAAAUUUUAUCAUCCUCAAUUGAUCUUUAUAUACAUCAGUAGGAUUUAAAGGAGUGAAAGUGAAUUUCUUGCCUUUAAAUACAAGGGAGUAUCGAUUAAGUUUACCUUGGUGUGUAACAUCGCGAUCAAAUUGCCAAGGUCGUCCAAGGAGCAAGUGUGCCGCAUGCAUGGGGACUACAUCACACCAUACGUCAUCCUCAUAAUUGCCGAGUUUAAAAGUGACCAAGGACUGUUUCGUAACUUUAACUUCGGAACAUUCAUUAAGCCACUGAAGGUGAUAUGGCUUAAGGUGUUUGGUACAAGGCAACUUUAAAGAAUCCACGAAAUAACUACUCACUACAUUCGAGCAACUCCCACUAUCAAUAAUGAGUGAACAUAAGUUACCUUUAAUAAAACACCGAGAAUGGAAAAUAUUGGUCCUUUGGCUCUCAUCAUCUUUCACCUGAAUGUUAAGGGUUCGGCGAACUACAAAGCAAUGGAAAUUAGCAAAGUCCCCUUCCUUUGGUGGUUCGACCAACUCUUCGCCAUUAUCACUGUCAUCCACAAGUUCUGGCAUAUCUGGAUCUGUUUUAUUAGAGUCGGAAGUGUACUCACCAUUAUCUUUCAGAAGAAGUAAUCUUGUGUUAGGGCAUUCCCUACUAUAAUGACCACGCCCUUUGCACUUAAAGCACUCAAUCUCACGAGUCCUCUUCGCACUCGAAUCUCCUAAAUUGGGCUGCUUAGAAGGUGUUUGCGUUUUAACAGGAACCCCUUUUUUCCAAUCUGAUUGCUUGCUUCCAUUACUCAAAGAAGGCUUGUUAGUAACGAAAGGUGAUUUUGAGCUCUUAAAAUCAGAAUUGGAAUUGUUACCUCGGUAAUAUUGCGAAGUCGAGAAGGAACCAAACCUUUGUUCCUUUAGUUGUUGCUCGAUCUCAAUGGCUUUAUGAACUGCUUCUUCCAAAUCAAUGUAAGUUUGUAGCCUCAAUGUAUUAGCUAUCGGCCUGUUCAAACCAUCAAUAAAUCGAACCAUAGUUGUUUCUUCAUCCUCCUCCACAUUAGCUCUCUGAAUGAGCAUCUCCAUCUCUUUAAAAUAUUCAUCCACUGUCCUACUACCUUGGAUAAGUCUUCUCAGCUUUGUUUUAAUUUCUCUAUAGUAGUGAGGUGGAAUAAACCUUUUACGCAUAAUCUGUUUCAACUCAUCCCAUGUCGAAAUCUCACCUUCAUAAUUCCGAUGGCGGUUUACCCCAAGUUGAGUCCACCAACUUAAUGCAUAAUCAGAAAAUUCCAGUGUUGCUAACGCUACCUUUUCAUCAUCCGGACAUUUAUAAUACCGAAACAUAAGUUCAAUCUUAGAUUCCCAUUCACAAUAAGCGUCAGGAUCAUUCUUACCAUGAAAUUGGGGAAUUGUGAAUUUCGGUUUUGCCAAAGAAGAUUGCCCACGAUCAUGAAAAUCAUCAUCCAUUCUAGUGACACGUCGAGGGUCGCGCCUCUGGGGUUGGUUAUCCCUGUCUUCUUUGAUUGGAUCUCGAUAUUGAGGUUCUUGAUUCAAUCGCACCUCAUUGAUGGUAGCAGUCAAAGCUCGAAGAGCAGCAGCCUGUUCAUCCAACUGUUGUUGGAAUUUUUUAAAUAUGUCACUAUUAUUAUCACCUGUAGACAUUUUUUUUAAAACCUGCAAAACACUUAACACUCAAAAAUAAAAGUUAUCAAACCUCACCGUUAAUCACUCAAAAAGAAAAAAUCAAAUUCUCAAUGAGGUCGAAUUCAAUCUUGUGAGUUCUUUAUCAGAGUUUAUAUCAACCAAUUAGAGAGUGUGAACCAAACAACCAAAGAAUCCUAAUUUGCACUAGGAUGCCAAAAACUGACGAGACACCAAUUGAUUCGUGUUGCACCGAGGAAGAAGUUGUGCACACGUUUAAAUCCUACUAACACAAGAAACAAGAAGGUGUUAGAUAACGUAAAGGAAGAAUAAAGGUAAACAAAUGAAAACCUACAGCUAAGAAUCAAUAAAAAUUACUGAAAACAGAAAACCCGAAAAACUGCGGAGUAACUUGACAACUUCGUUCGAGGUGUUCCCGAUCUCCAAAAAUCACGAAAUUAAAUCUGGAGUGUCCUUAUAUAUUUAAUUUUUGAUAUGGAAAUUUUGGGCACC